AGCGCCACGACCUAUCGGCUCUAGACGCUUCAUUCAACGAGGUGGAGAUUAAGGAGGCGGUAUUCUCCUUACUUCGGUCAAGGCCUCAGCCCCCGAUGGUUUCAUCAGCGUCUUCUUCAAAUCCCGCUGGGAGAUCAUCAAAGCGGAUGUCGUGGUUGUGAUGAUGCAGCUCGCAAACCUGAGAGGCGACUGCCCUGGCCUGAUCAAUUCAACCAACAUUAUUCUGCUCCCAAAAAAGUCGGCACAUCCUCGAUUGGCGACUACCUCCCAAUCAGUUUGAUACACAACAUCUCCAAGAUCUUCUCCAAGCUGUGGCUAACCGGCUAGCCCCUCUGCUUCCGUCGCGGGUUUCCAAGUGCGAGAGUGCCUUUGUAUAAAGAUGGUGCAUCCACGAUAAUUUCCUACACGUGCAAAACUUGAUCAAAGAAUUGCACCGCUCUUCAACGCCAAGCAUUUUCCUCAAGCUCGACAUCUCCAAGGCUUUCGACUCUGUGGGUUGGGCUUACCUCCUGGAGGCGCUACUGAAAAGGAUUGAGAUGGACCUAGAGGGGGGGUGAAUAGGUACAGUUCCAAAUUUUAAUAGUUACUUAGCUAUUUUAGGCAAUGGUGCGAAAUAUGAGAGUGAGCCUAAUAAUUGCAAAGACAAAGAGUAAGCUAUUUAGAGUAAAGUAAGGCAACCGGUAAACUAUAAUCAAAUGCAAGUACGUAAUAAGGAUUAACACAAGUAGAGAGUUAGGGUUAGGGAUAACCAAAACUCCAAGAGAGACGAGGAUGUAUCCCGGUGUUCACUUCCUUGGAGGGAAGCUACGUCACCGUUAGAGGGGCGGAUGUUACCACGAAGGCACACCAACGCCACGAAGGCUCACCCUAUUCUCCCUUUGAGACAACACCACGAAGGGGUUUCUCAACCACUAGUGGUAAGCCUUGAGGUGGCUUCCAAACCCUCACAAACUUUUCGGGGGGUAAUCACAUAGGUUUGAUUCCUCUCCGAAGACUCCUACUGACUAGGAGUCUCCAACCUCCAAGAGUAACAAGAUCACGGGGAUUGCUCAAAACUUGCUCAAAUCACAAAUCGCUUUGGUGGAGAGGAGGAGAAGGAGACGAUCUAUCUUUUGAUUGGAACAACACUCAAAGGGGCUCACAAAUGCUCUUGGGAUCUAAGUUUGGGUGUAGGCAAGAGGGAGUGAGGAAGAAAGUGUUCUUAUAAGUGUUCUUGUAAGUGUUCUUGCUGUGUUGGACCCCCUCUCACGAAGUGGGAGGGGGGUAUAUAUAGUGGGGAGACUAAAGUAACCGUUGGGGUCACUUAAGUCUGACAGUGGUCGGACGUUCGACGGUUUCCGAACGUCUGACAGGCGUAGGACGACCGAAGGAGUGUUCAUAUCAGUUGGCCACUAUGUAGUCGAACAGGGACCGGACGUCCGAAGAGAGGGUCGGAUGUCCAAGAGUUAAGCUCUGUUCAAGGGCACCGGAUUUCCGAAAGAGGUGAGAGGUCUGGCCCUCGGAAGACCGGAGGAAGCUGGAAGUCCGAGGUUUUUGACUCUGGUAUAGGGCUCCGGUUUUCCGAAGUGGUCGGGCUUCCGGCCCUCGGACGUUCGGAGGAAGCCGGAUGUUCGAGAUUUUGACUCUGGUAUAAGGCUCCGGUUUUCCGAAGUGGUCGGGCGUCUGGCCCUCGGACGUCCGGAGGGAGCCGGAUGUCCGAGGCUUUGGUUCUGUUUUGGAAUCAAACAAGAGCAGAGGAGAAAUGGCAUGAGCAGAGAAGUAGAGAUGUAGUUUGAGCAAGUUCAUCGCAAAACCCGUGAUCCCCUCUUAAUAGUGCGAGAUCCCUAUACUCAAGAAUAGUAAAUUAAAGGAUAGGCUACAUCAUCUUGUUUCUCAAUCCCGAGCCUUCUUGACAUAUAAGUCCCGAUCUUCUCAAGCCACCUGGGCACAUAAUUCUCUAUCUACUAAGAGUACUUUAAAAGCCAUCCUGAGAUACACUCAACAAAUAAGAUUAGUUUCCUAUGUAUGUGUUGUCAUUAACACCAAAACUCGAUUAAGGGCAUGACUGCACUUUCAAUCUCCCCCUUUUUGGUAGUUGAUGAGAACAUAUACAUUGCUCUCAAAAGAUUUAACAUACAUUUAGCUUUGGAGAGGUUUGGUACGGAGCUCCCCCUUAGUAUGUGCAUGGUAAAAAUAACGGAGCUCCCCCUUAAUGUGGGUAUCGAAGAUAUCAUGUGAUUUAGUAGAGAUAAUAGAUCAUCAUAUGGCAACCGAUCAUCAUAUGAAGUAAUAGAACAAAACAUAAUAACAUACGAUGAUAUCAUAGCAAGCACGACAUUCAUAGGUAGCAAUACAUAGUGCAUCACAGUCGUUUAUCCAUUACAUUAUUCAAACAUGCAAAUUGAGUUCAAAAGCUAAAACUCCAAAGACUAAAACUAGGAUACAUUACUCCCCCUUUGGCAUCAAGUACCGAAAAGGGAGGCACCAGAAACAUCAACCAUGCUCAGAGAUCAUCAACACCAUCAUCCUCAUCAUCCUCAUCCUCAGGCAAGCCACUGCCACCAGCCUCGUCAAGAAAAUCAGCCCACUCAGGACCAGAUGGGAAGCCAAAAUCAGAAGGAGGAAUAGCAGGAAUAGCCUCAUCGUCACUGACAUCAAGAGUGCCCGAGUCUCUCAGACGAGCCUUGAGGGCAUUCUUGGAGGAGAUCAAGCGCGAAACCACAUCAUGGUUUUGAGCGCAGUGGUAGGAGAACGCCUUCAUCAUGGCAGAAUGGGCUUUGCCAAUGAAUUUGGCAAAGCGACUGAGAGGGGCAGAGUUGGAUGAAGGGGUGUCUGACCGGGAAGCAGCACGAUGAGUGGAGGUGGAUGGGGUUUUCCUAGGAGCAUAGUCAUCCGCCAUAUGAGUGGGGAUGACCCACUUGUGGUGCGUGUGAGUAGGAGCAAGCGGGAAAGCAACAAUAAAGUUGAUGAAAGCCUGGAUGAAGGGGGCAUGAGGGAAGGCUCGCUUGUAUUGAAGACUAGCAAGCCGAAUCUCAUGCCACAAAAAAUGAGGCACAUUUAGCUUGCGCUUGGGAAAAUCAUGCAAGUGGGACAUGAUAUCAAUGUAGUAGCCGCUGCAGGUUCCCCUGUCACCCAUCUUGGGGUAGAUGGUGCGGAUAAGGCAUUGAAAAAUGAUAAAGUAUGGAGACCGCCAGAUAGACACUUGGUUGAGAUCUUUCUGUUUUUCAUCAGCAUCAAGUUCAUGACGUGGUUUGAGAAGAGAACCACAUGCCGCAAUGGAUUUGGGAGCAUGGUUAGGGUCACUUUUGUGAAUUUUGAAACCGGUGUCGGGAAAACCCAGAGCGGCAACAAACUCCGCAUAGCCCUAAACUCUAUAUCAGAGGUCAUCCAGCUAACAGAGUCAUCAGAAUGAAAGUAACAAGUGGCAUAGAAUUGGUGGAUGGCGCCACUGUUAAAAUCGCACUUAAAGGCAAGGGGAGCAGCUAGCCCCGAGGACUCAAGAAGCCCAAUGGCACCCGGAUAUUUCGCCGGGUGAGUGCGGAUGUGCUCAAGGUCAAUGCAAUGAUGAACUGAAAUACCUUUAGGAACUAUGACAGUAGAGAAUGUUCGCUUGGACAUUUGUGCGAAACCGUGAAUCCAGAGAAUCACGUUCAGCAUCGAAUUGGUUAACAUCUCUAGGAAAGUAAAAUAGGCGGAUUUGGGUUUUUUGGUGAAGUCCGUGACUUCACGACCCAAGGAGGGAGGAGGCUCUAAGGAGAUACGUCGAGCAUCACCUGCUGUCUGUUCAGGAGGAGGCGGUGGCAUAUAUGAGGGCCUACGAGUCCCCGGCUUCGACACAGUCUUCCGAACGGCAACGUAUUCAGCACGUUCCUCCGUUGCAAGCUCAUCCUCGAAGUCAGAGCCAUCAGACGAGGAGCUGGGCUAUGGAGGAGGACGCCGGGCGAGCCGUUUGAAGGGACGGCGUGGUACAUCGGUGUCAUCCGAGCCCGUGCCAGGAGCGGCACGAGCGGAUGAGCCAGCAGAGUUCUUCCGGGCAGUGUGCUUAAUCUUGGGCAUGAUUGGAAGGCCUACACGAUUGGAAACCCAAUGGGGAACGGUCACGGUCAAGACACAUGAACGAACACAUGAACUAGUGAGAAGGGGAACCAAUCAAGAGGAAAACCGAGAUUUACCUACAGAUCGGAAGGAGAAAGGGAUGGAAUCAGCCAAGGGUAUGGCCGAAAGAAGGAUCCCGCGGAGGAAGAGGGCAACCGGAAGAAGAAAUCGCGGGGUACAGCUCCUAUGGCGGCUAGCGGCGGCUGUGGAGGGAGAGGGAGAGGGCGCGUGGUGGCUAUGGCAAGGCCCAGCCUGCGCCCCUCUAUUUAUAGAGGCUCCCGACGGGUCGGACGUCGGACGGGCGUCGGACGUCCGGAGGGCAUCAGCCGUCGGACGACCGACAGGUGCCGGACGUCCAGAGUGUGUGAGCCGUCGGACGUCCGAGACGCGUCGGACGUCCGAGAGGGAAGUAGGCAGAGGCAAUUUCUGGGAUCUUGAUGAUGAGGUGAUUUGACAUGGUUUAUCACAAGGGACACCCAAUAGUGUUGCCUAUAAGAACUAUAUAUACUACUUGUGGGAGGUAGUUGAUUUAUGCAUAUUACAGGGUUAAAACAAAAAUUACGAUGUGAGUGCUAGUAUCUCCCCCUAAAUGCAUGCCGACAUCAAGACAAUAACAUAAUGUGAGGGUGUGCAUGUGUAUAGGAUUUCAAGUUAUGUUAUUGUGACAGCCCGAGACCGACGCCCCAGAAGAUUCCCCUUUAUUUUCGUUUCCAUCGUGUGAUUAGUUUUAUUCGUUGCAUCGUCAUGUAGUUUGCAUCAUCGCUUCAUGCAUGGCAUCUUGCAUCGUCUGUCACGUGUGGUGUUUUGAGUGUGUGUGCUUCGAGUGCUCACCGAGUCUUAGUGCGAUAGAAACUCCCCCUCUCCCCUCUUAUUUCGUUUUUGUGGUUUUGCUAAAGUCUUCGUUUAAAACCCCUAUUUAAAAAGGUUCAUCUUCUUUUAAAGAAAAUCCUUUUAUUAAAUGUGGGGGAAACCCUUGGGUUUCCUUUAUUUUUUUCUUUUGUUUAUUUUUAAAACUAGAGUUUCAUUUUAUUUGUAAAAUAGCUUUUAUUUUAUUCUUUAAAUAAAAGAGGUUUUAUUUUAUUCUUCAAAGGGUUUUAUUUUUAUUCGUUUAAAAAAUGCCCAACUCUUUUUUAUAGUUGGGGUAGAUUUCUAAAGGAGUAAAAGGCAUUUUAUUAUUUUGUUAAAAAACCUUUUUCUUUUGUGUUUGUUGUCUGAUUUUUUUAAAAAAGAGCAAGGAGUGAAGGGAAGGGGGCGAGGCCCAGGCCCAAGCCUCCCGUAGCCCUAGCGCUGCUCGUCCCCGUGUUCUUCCCCGUGCGCCGUCGCCUUCCCCAUGCACCGAUUCCCCUUCGUACCGAAUCCCCCUCGUCCCGUGUCCGCCUCCCUACCAGCGCCGAGUUCCCCCUGCUCACCGGCCCCUCCCCGCCGGAUUGGCCGCCGUCUCCCUAGCUGCGCCGCCCGCCNGCUGGCUGCCGAUGCAUGCCGUUGCUGCUACGUGUAGCUGUCCGAUGUCGCUUGCUUGCCUUGCAUGCUUGCCUGCCUAGCUGCUUGUGCCGAUGUAGUUUGCUAGUUAGUUUGUUGCUUGGUGUUAUGCUAUAGCUUGCUGCUAGCUAGUAGAUGUUGGUGCUGUAGUAAGCUAGGUAGUUGUUAGUUGGUUGCUUGAUGCCACGUUUAGCUGUUAGCUGAUGCUGUAGUGUGCAUGCCUGCUAGCUAGCUAGUUGCCGUAGGUUGCAUGCUAGUAGAUGUUGCUAGCUUGUGCUGCCGCUUGCUAUCGCCGCGUGCACCAUCCCCGCCGCUGUGGAAUCGACAAGUUCGCCGAGUCCACGACGUCCUCGAUGACCCCGACCAUCUACGGAAACCGAGUUCAACUUCCUCGACAUCGUCGAAGACCCGUGUUCGACUACCGAGGUGAAGACCGUAACCGACGCCGAAGACCGUGUACCGACGACAAGAGAAUGACUACCGUCGACGAGACCCGAGUUCCACGACGAUGACUACUUCCACGACGACCACGACUUCCACGACGUCCGCUACGAACCGAUCCGCUUCGAAUCGCACGCUUCAAAGGUAUACCGAUGAGACGUGUCGUGUAACGAACGAAUGUGUUGUAUGAGAUGUAUGUAUGUUUGCACCGUAUGUUGCCCGUUGCACGUUGUCCCUCUUAUGUUGUGCCCCGACACAUGGGAACCCGGUAACCGGGAUCACCCCAUCUUUAUUUAACGUUCCCGCACUCGCUCCCAGUUCGUUGGCACCGAUAUCUCGACGAGUUAUCGGGAAAGGGACGUUGCCGUGGCAUCGUUUCCGAUUUGCCGCCAUGGUCCCCUUUCGCUUGCCGUGGCCACACUUGUUUCUUUCUCUUCCUGCCGUAGUGUUGAUAAACUUGCAUGCAUGACGCAUACAUGGCAUAUACCGUGUGUUGCAUGUUCUUGUGCCGUAGCUCCGAUCUUUGUUUCGCGUAUUAACCCACUAGGAUGACUUGUAGGAUCACCGCUUCACCCCUUGCCAUGUUAACCACACUUAAUAUUGCGUGUAAAUUAACGGGAGUGAACUAAAUAAUUAGUCAUGGAGUUUCGUCGAUAUGCAACUCGUUGCAUAUCGAGCUUCACUUAAUGUGUAGAGUUUGCGUGAGGUGAAUUGCCAUGCCAUCCCUUGCAUUAUGAACUGAUCAUGCAUCAUAGUAGGUUGUGCAUCAUGUUGUGCAUCGUGUGGUGAAUAUUUGUGUUGAUGUUUGUUUCCGGUUUCCUCCGUCUCGAUAGAGUUCCGCAAGCGUGUCAGAAUGUGAGGACCCGUUCGACUACGUUGGUUCGCCGACUUCACAGAGUUGUUCUUCUUCCAAGCGGGAUCUCAGGCAAGAUGACCAUUUCCCCAGAUACCAUUACUAUCAUUGCCAUGCUAGUUUUAUCGCUUCUAUCGGUUAUGUCUCGUUGCCUACCACAUGUUAAAUAUCAGCCUCUCAACAAUGCCAUGAUUGCCUUCAACCUGUUCGACCGAGCAAACCACUGAUUGGCUAUGUUACCGCUUUCUUAACCCUGUUGUUAGCGUUGCUAGUUGCAGGUGUAGUUGCUUCCAUGUGAAAACAUGGGUUCCUUGUUAUAUCACCCUAUCAAAUGCUAUUUAAUUUAAUGCACCUAUAUACUUGGUAAAAGGUGGAAGGCUCGGUCUUUCUAGCCUGGUGUUUUGUUCCACCUUUGCCCCCUUAGUUUCGGCUACCGGUGUUAUGUUCCAUAUUUGAGCGCUCCUAACACGAUCGGGGUUGUUAUGGGGACCCCCUUGAUAAUUCGUUUUAGAUUAAAGCUGGUCUGGCAAGGCCCAACAUUGGUACNUAUCACCCUAUCAAAUGCUAUUUAAUUUAAUGCACCUAUAUACUUGGUAAAAGGUGGAAGGCUCGGUCUUUCUAGCCUGGUGUUUUGUUCCACCUUUGCCCCCUUAGUUUCGGCUACCGGUGUUAUGUUCCAUAUUUGAGCGCUCCUAACACGAUCGGGGUUGUUAUGGGGACCCCCUUGAUAAUUCGUUUUAGAUUAAAGCUGGUCUGGCAAGGCCCAACAUUGGUACUAUUUGCCCAACAUAAAAAUUCUGUUAAUACUGAAAACGUAGGGUGUCAUGAACCCUAGGAGUAAUUUCACAUAAUACCGGGGGGCCAGUGCUGAUGGUGCUGGUCCAAAACUAGAGCCGUUUGCGGGGCCAACCCAGGGCAACUCGGGAGAUUUCUAUUAGGCCACCGUACGCUGUGCUUAUCCAUCGUGUCCUGAGAACGAGAUACACGGCUCCUAUCGGGAUCGUCGACACGCCGGGCGGCCUUGAUGGAUUAGUUUUACCUUUGAUGAGAUAUCUUGUGCAUCGGGAUUCCGGUGAUGCUUUGGGUAAUCUCAAAGUUGAGGUUUUCCACUAAGGAAUCCAACGAGAUUGCGAGUGUCGUGAUCGAGGAUUUCUAUGCGGCUUGUGGUAAUUUGUGAUGGACUAGUUGGAGCACCCCUGGAGGGUUAAAUCUUUCGGAAAGCCGUGCCCGCGGUUAUGUGGCAACGUGGAAACUUUGUUUAACACUGGUUCUAGAUAACUUGAAGUUAACUUAAUUAAAGUAUGCCAACUGUGUGCGUAACCGUGACUGUCUCUUUCGUGAGUUCUUUCUACGAUCGAGGACACGUUGGGGUUAUGCCUGACGUAGGUAGGUGUUCACGAUCAUUCAUUUGAUCAUCAUUAGUCACGUCCAUUAUGCGUAGAUCUCCCCCCUCUUUAUUCUUGUACUCGUAAGUUAGCCACCAAAUAUAUGCUUAGUCGCUGCUGCAACCUCACCACUUAACCAUGCCUCACCCAUUAAGCUUUGCUAGUCUUGAUACCUUUGGAAAUGAGAUUGAUGAGUCCCCUGUGGCUCACAGAUUACUACAACACCAGUUGCAGGUACAGGUAAAGGUUACUCUACACAUUGAUUGUUCAUUUGGAGUUGCUUCUUCUNCUUCUCCUUCUUCUUCAUCGAUCUAGGAUGGGUUCCAGGCCGGCAGCCUGGGAUAGCAAGGAUGGACGUCGUUCUUCUUUUCUCGUUUGUUUUCGUCCAUAGUCGGACCCUGCUCUUCUUCAUGAUGAUUAUGUAUUUGUACUGCUGUGACUCUGAUGUAGCUCGUGGCGAGUGUAAGCCAAAUUCUAUAUAUAUAUAUAUCUCUUCUUUUCAGUACAUGUACUUAUAACGAUAUCCAUUCUUGCGACACGACGAGAUGCGCUUCUAUCCCCGACGAGGCCUUCGUGCCAAAUUGAGGAUAGGGUCGCAUCUUGGGCGUGACAAGUUGGUAUCAGAGCAGUACCGACCUAGGAGCCCCCUUGAUUGAUCGAACUUGGCCGAGUCGAGUCUAGUGAAAAACUAUUUGAGUCUUAGUUAUAUAUCGAAGAGUAGGAUUCUUUUUUCUCCUCUUUUAUGCUCUCGUGAGGAAUUUUGACGUAAUAAUUUAAUUCUACUCUUCUUCUCACUCAAAUUUUUUGUAGGAUCACGGGGAUAUUUUUGGAAUCUAUAUGAUGCCGAUGUGACGGAGUUCUGUCUUGGUGCCUCCUAUCUGCUUUGAGUUUCAGGGGAGUUGAGCUCCAGGGGAUUCUCGAGCACAUUGUUAUCAUUCAGAUUUCUUAGUAUCUCAGUACGAAGGAUGUUCGUAAUUUCUUCAAUGCUAGUAGUGGCGAGAUAACCCCGAUGUCCCUAGUACUGGUGCAGAUUGUUCGGGAGUACUGCCAUACUUUGUAUCGUUGUGAUCACGAGGGUCUGUUGUAGAUGAAGGUCCGAGAUUCUGGUUGUGUGUUGACGGUGUGAUACAGGUGACGGGUUAGUAUAGGAGUUGUGUGAUAUUACUCCUUGUAUCCGUGUACCAGAUUGCAUGACCAGAUAUUUCGGGAAUUCAUAGGUGGGAAUUCAAGUAGUUACUUAUAGGACGAUCUUCCAACAAAUUCGUGUUGCUUCGAUGUCAAGUGGUGAUUUCAGAUCUUUCCUAAGAGGUGUUCUCAUAUUUUUAUGAGAGUAUUAAUUCUUUUUAUCUAUCAAUUGUCUUAUCAAUUCCUUUCAACCGGAGUCGUCGUAUCAAUUCCAUUCAACCGGUGUGCUUCUCUUCAACUGAAUUCAAUCUUAUCUAAUUUUGCAAGAUCAUUCUCUCAAUUCUUACCGGAGUUCGUCUCAUCUGUCUCAAGUUGUCUUUGUUUUUCCCCGCCCUCCCACCCUUUUUCUUCAAUGAUUCAAUUUUCUUCCAAGAGUUUUCUUUUCAUUGUGCUUCCGCUGUUUGUUCUUUUCUCUCUUACCCGACGAUUCAUUGUGUAGAUUUUUAGGAGUUCUAGUUCAUCAUUCCUUCAACCUGGUUAUCUUUUUCCAGUGAAUUUAAUUUAGUUGUCCAUGUUCAUCAUAUACUAUUUAUCCUUCUAAUUCUUUCCCAUGUCGGAAAUUUUUAUGAGCCUAUCUUGGUAUUUAUUUCUCUCUUUUCGAUCCGGAGCGUUGAAGUUAUCUCUCUAGUUCUUCUUUCCAACCUUUUCAAUUAUUUCGAGGUUCUCAACCUCAUCUAGUUUUCUUUUUACCGGUGCAAUAUCUCUCUUCUCAGCAAUCUUUUCUAACGGUGGGUUCUUUGAGUGGGCCCAUAACCCACAGGUUUUUCCCACGAUCUUUCGUGGCUCUUUUAAUCUUUUCCGGGAGAUCAUUAAUUCUUUUCAGGUAUGAUGUAAGUAUGAAUUUCAUCAGUCAUAUUCCUUCUUCAUGAUCAAUUAGAAUUAAUUCUCUUAUUUGGCUCAACCUUUCAUUCUUCUCUAUUCCGGAGUGUCUGAGUAAUUCUUGGUGUUGUUCUCGUCAUCAUUCUGAGCUUGCAAUUCGAAGGAGUGUUUCUCUCAAAUCUUGGUCCGUUCUUUUGAAGAUUCAUCAUUUCAGCUUUGUGCCAUCAUCUUAUUUGUUCCAAUCAUGAGUGAUUCAUUUCUUGCUAUCUGGUGCUUCUCUGAGUUGUUUUCAUUAUCGAUCCUCCGAAGACCAUCAUUUCAGAAGAUUCUUCGUUCUCAGCUUUCAGCUUUCAUCCUCAAUUCUUCUCCAUUGUUGUCUCUUCGUUCGUCUCUCGUUUAUCCGGUGCCUUGUUUUAGCUCUCUCUCAGGUGGAUCAUGAUCUCUUCGUUCUCAUGUAUCUACAUUAGUUCGUGGUGUUCCCAUUCAAUUCUGAAUUCUUACCGGUGCUUCCUUCAAUUAUGCCUCAAGUGGUGCUUAUCUCUCUGUCUCUUCAAGAUUCUUUCAAGAAGAAUAAGUUGUAUGCUAAAUCCGUUGCUUUUCAUCAAUUUAAUUUGAUGAAGGAUGAGCAUAACAUAAUUCUUAUUCUUGUUCAUAGUAAUAUGAAUUCUUCUUCCGGAGUGGCUCACGGUACCAAUUCCUUUUUCUCAAGUGUUCUUAUCUUUUCUUUUCCGGAGUUCCAAGUUUUCUCAAGUAUCUCUUUGUGAAGCUUCAUCUAAAUCUUGGCAAGGUCAUAAUCUUAUUCUUUUCUACCUUCAUAUCUUUGCAUCAUUCAUUUGUAUACGAAGGUCCUUCUUGGUGGUUCGUCAAGAUUUCAUUCAUUCUGAAGUGUUCUCCAAGAUUCGUGUUGGAAUACCUCAAGUAUUCUUUCUGUUCCAUUUUCAGUGCAUUUGUUCUUCCUUUAUCCUUUGAGGUGGUAUUAUAGCAUUCUUGUUAGUGUAGGAGCCUCGAAGAGAUAUCCUUUCAAGAAUGAGAUAAUUAAACCCACCAAUCCUUUGAUCAUGAGAUUAUUCUUAACUCAUGGUUUCUUCAUUGAGCUAUCUUGGUUUGUAUUUCACCUAAAGCUUUUCCUAUGGAUUGUGCUAUCAUGGUGCUUGUCUUUAAUCUAAGUUCUCAAUGCAUCCGCUUGGUGUAAGAUUGUUCAUGUCUUGUUUCUCCCAAUCUAUCCUUGUUUAUUUUAGUGGUUGGUUGUCACCUCAUAUUUGUUGAGAUGAUUUUCAUAAGCCCACUACUAUCUUGUUCUUUUUGUUGUUGGUUUCCAAUUGCUGCGUCAAUUCUCCGUCCGGAGGCUCUUCCAUUCUAUUGUGAUGAUAGUUGGCAUUCUUUCUUCAUUCUCUACUUCCGCUUGAGCCAGUUCAUAUUCUCUUGUUCCGGAGGCAUUGUGAUGUUGCUCUUUUGGGUCUAUUAUGUUGUUCUAUCAAGAUCAUGGUGUUCCCUUGCUCUACUUAGUUGUUUGUUGUGCAUAUUGUCUAAUUCUCUCUUCUUAUCGAAUUUUUUGUCCCAUUUUCCUACCGAAGUGGUGCCGAAAUUUUCCGUGAAUUCUUGCUUGUUUCUCAUAUCAUUCCUAAUCUCUUUGCAACUUUCAAGGAUCGUUGGUUUCACUCGUUGGUAAAGAAGCGACUAAGUUUUUACCUCUUGCUUUCUCAUCCUCUCCCCCCUUUCUUUCCUGGAUCUCGGGGCGAGAUCCUCUUGUAGUGUAGGAGAGUUGUGACAGCCCGAGACCGACGCCCCAGAAGAUUCCCCUUUAUUUUCGUUUCCGUUGUGUGAUUAGUUUUAUUCGUUGCAUCGUCAUGUAAUUUGCAUCAUCGCUUCAUGCAUGGCAUCUUGCAUCGUCUGUCACGUGUGGUGUUUUGAAUGUGUGUGCUUCUAGUGCUCAUCGAGUCUUAGUGCGAUAGAAACUCGCCCUCUCCCCUCUUAUUUCGUUUUUGUGGUUUUGCUAAAGUCUUCGUUUAAAACCCCUAUUUAAAAAGGUUCAUCUUCUUUUAAAGAAAAUCCUUUUAUUAAAUGUGGGGGAAACCCUUGGGUUUCCUUUAUUUUUUUAUUUUGUUUAUUUUUAAAACUAGAGUUUCAUUUUAGUUGUAAAAUAGCUUUUAUUUUAUUCUUUAAAUAAAAGAGGUUUUAUUUUAUUCUUCAAAGGGUUUUAUUUUUAUUCGUUUAAAAAAUGCCCAACUAUUUUAUAUAGUUGGGGUAGAUUUCUAAAGGACUAAAAGGCAUUUUAUUAUUUUGUUAGAAAACCUUUUUAUUUUGUGUUUGUUGUCUGAUUUUUUUUAAAAAAAGAGCAAGGAGUGAAGGGAAGGGGCCAGGCCCACGCCCAAGCCUCCCGUAGCCCUAGCGCUGCUCGUCCCGUGUUCUUCCCCGUGCGUCGUCGCCUUCCCCAUUCCCCGAUUCCCGUCUGUCCCGAAUCCCCCUCGUCCCGUGUCCGCCUCCCUGCCAGCACCGAGUUCCCCCCUGCUUGCCGGCCUCUCCCCGCCGGAUUGGCCGCCGUCUCCCUAGCUGCGCCGCCCGCCUCGCCAUUCCCCGUGCCGCCUGCAGGUUCCCUGCCCNUUGCCUGAUGCGUGUUUGCCUGCUAAUGCUUGCCGUUGUUAGCUUGCGUGCAUUGCUGCUGUUGCUUGUUGGAUGUGCUGCGUUUUGCUGUAGCCUGCUGCCGCUCUUGCUGUGUGUAGCCGUUGCUCUUGCUGCUUUGCAGAUUGCUGCUGCUUGCCUGCUGGCCUGUCGCCUUGUGAUGUUGAUGUGGCCGUGUGUUGCUGUACAUGCUGGCUGCCGAUGCAUGCCGUUGCUGCUACGUGUAGCUGUCCGAUGUCGCUUGCUUGCCUUGCAUGCUUGCCUACCUAGCUGCUUGUGCCGAUGUAGUUUGCUAGUUAGUUUGUUGCUUGGUGUUAUGCUAUAGCUUGCUGCUAGCUAGUAGAUGUUGGUGCUGUAGUAAGCUAGGUAGUUGUUAGUUGGUUGCUUGAUGCCACGUUUAGCUGUUAGCUGAUGCUGUAGUGUGCAUGCCUGCUAGCUAGCUAGUUGCCGUAGGUUGCAUGCUAGUAGAUGUUGCUAGCUUGUGCUGCCGCUUGCUAUCGCCGCGUGCACCAUCCCCGCCGCUGUGGAAUCGACAAGUUCGCCGAGUCCACGACGUCCUCGAUGACCCCGACCAUCUACGGAAACCGAGUUCAACUUCCUCGACAUCGUCGAAGACCCGUGUUCGACUACCGAGGUGAAGACCGUAACCGACGCCGAAGACCGUGUACCGACGACAAGAGAAUGACUACCGUCGACGAGACCCGAGUUCCACGACGAUGACUACUUCCACGACGACCACGACUUCCACGACGUCCGCUACGAACCGAUCCGCUUCGAAUCGCACGCUUCAAAGGUAUACCGAUGAGACGUGUCGUGUAACGAACGAAUGUGUUGUAUGAGAUGUAUGUAUGUUUGCACCGUAUGUUGCCCGUUGCACGUUGUCCCUCUUAUGUUGUGCCCCGACACAUGGGAACCCGGUAACCGGGAUCACCCCAUCUUUAUUUAACGUUCCCGCACUCGCUCCCAGUUCGUUGGCACCGAUAUCUCGACGAGUUAUCGGGAAAGGGACGUUGCCGUGGCAUCGUUUCCGAUUUGCCGCCAUGGUCCCCUUUCGCUUGCCGUGGCCACACUUGUUUCUUUCUCUUCCUGCCGUAGUGUUGAUAAACUUGCAUGCAUGACGCAUACAUGGCAUAUACCGUGUGUUGCAUGUUCUUGUGCCGUAGCUCCGAUCUUUGUUUCGCGUAUUAACCCACUAGGAUGACUUGUAGGAUCACCGCUUCACCCCUUGCCAUGUUAACCACACUUAAUAUUGCGUGUACAUUAACGGGAGUGAACUAAAUAAUUAGUCAUGGAGUUUCGUCGAUAUGCAACUCGUUGCAUAUCGAGCUUCACUUAAUGUGUAGAGUUUGCGUGAGGUGAAUUGCCAUGCCAUCCCUUGCAUUAUGAACUGAUCAUGCAUCAUAGUAGGUUGUGCAUCAUGUUGUGCAUCGUGUGGUGAAUAUUUGUGUUGAUGUUUGUUUCCGGUUUCCUCCGUCUCGAUAGAGUUCCGCAAGCGUGUCAGAAUGUGAGGACCCGUUCGACUACGUUGGUUCGCCGACUUCACAGAGUUGUUCUUCUUCCAAGCGGGAUCUCAGGCAAGAUGACCAUUUCCCCAGAUACCAUUACUAUCAUUGCCAUGCUAGUUUUAUCGCUUCUAUCGGUUAUGUCUCGUUGCCUACCACAUGUUAAAUAUCAGCCUCUCAACAAUGCCAUGAUUGCCUUCAACCUGUUCGACCGAGCAAACCACUGAUUGGCUAUGUUACCGCUUGCUUAACCCUGUUGUUAGCGUUGCUAGUUGCAGGUGUAGUUGCUUCCAUGUGAAAACAUGGGUUCCUUGUUAUAUCACCCUAUCAAAUGCUAUUUAAUUUAAUGCACCUAUAUACUUGGUAAAAGGUGGAAGGCUCGGUCUUUCUAGCCUGGUGUUUUGUUCCACCUUUGCCCCCUUAGUUUCGGCUACCGGUGUUAUGUUCCAUAUUUGAGCGCUCCUAACACGAUCGGGGUUGUUAUGGGGACCCCCUUGAUAAUUCGUUUUAGAUUAAAGCUGGUCUGGCAAGGCCCAACAUUGGUACUAUUUGCCCAACAUAAAAAUAUUGUUAAUACUGAAAGCAUAGGGCGUCAUGAACCCGAGGAGUAAUUUCACAUAAUACAGGGGGCCCAGUGCUGAUGGUGCUGGUCCAAAACUAGAGCCGUUUGCGGGGCCAACCUGGGGCAACUGGGGAGAUUUCUAUCAGGCCACCGUACGCUGUGCUUAUCCGUCGUGUCCUGAGAACGAGAUACGCGGCUCCUAUCGGGAUCGUCGACACGUCGGGUGGCCUUGCUGGAUUAGUUUUACCUUUGACGAGAUAUCUUGUGCAUCGGGAUUCCGGUGAUGCUUUGGAUAAUCUUAGAGUUGAGGUUUUCCACUAAGGAAUCCAACGAGAUCGCGAGUGUCGUGAUCGAGGAUUUCUAUGCGGCUUGUGGUAAUUUGUGAUGGACUAGUUGGAGCACCCCUGNNNNNNNNNNNNNNNNNNNNNNNNNNNNNNNNNNNNNNNNNNNNNNNNNNNNNNNNNNNNNNNNNNNNNNNNNNNNNNNNNNNNNNNNNNNNNNNNNNNNGGUAACGAGAUUGAACAAGGUAUAGGUAUACCGACGAUCGAAUCUCGGGCAAGUUCUAUACCGACAGACAAAGGGAAUCGUAUACGGGAUUGAUUGAAUCCUUGACAUCGUGGUUCAUCCGAUGAGAUCAUCGUGGAGCAAGUGGGAGCCACCAUGGGUAUCCAGACCCCGCUGAUGGUUAUUGGCCAGAGAGGUGUCUCGCUCAUGUAUGCCUGUCUCCCGAACCCGUAGGGUCUACACACUUAAGGUUCGAUGACGCUAGGGUUAUAGGGAAUUGUUAUACGAGGUUACCGAAAGUUGUUCGGAGUCCCGGAUUAGAUCCCGGACGUCACGAGGAGCUCCGAAAUGGUCCGGAGGUAAAGAUUGAUAUAUAGGACGGAUGGUUUUGGACACUGGAAGUGUUUUCGGGCGUCACCGGUAAUGUACCGGGACCACCGAGACCACCGAAGGUGGCCCCGGGGGACCACCGAAGGGGGGCAACGACCCCGGGAGGCUAGAUCGGCUAAGUGGGGAAGGGAACCAGCCCCUAGGUGGGCUGGUGCGCCCCCCACCCAGCCCAUGCGCACCAGAGAAAGGGGGAAGGGGGAAACCCUAGGCGCAGUUGAGGCCCAAGGCCCACCUAGGGUGCGCCCCCCCUUUCCCUUCCCUGGCCGCCGCCCCCCUCCCAUCUGGUGGCUGCCGCACCACCUAGGGGGGGAACCCUAGGGGUGGCGCACCCCCUCCCCCUCCUCCUAUAAAUAUAGAGGGGUUUUGGCCAUUGGAGAACACACUUUGCCCUCUCUCUCGGCGCAGCCCUGCUCUUCUUCCUCCUCCUCUCCGCCGGUGCUUGGCGAAGCCCUGCCGGGAGACCUCGUCUCUCCAUCGACACAACGCCGUCGUGUUGCUGGAGUUCUUCCCCAACCUCUCCCUCCUCCUUGCCGGAUCAAGGCGCGGGAGACGUCACCGGGCUGCACGUGUGUUGAACGCGGAGGUGCCGUUGUUCGGCACUAGAUCAGAAUCGCUGCGAGUACGACUCCAUCAACCGCGUUCUAGCAACGCUUCUGCUUAGCGAUCUUCAAAGGUAUGAAGAUGCUCUUACCCCUCUCUCGUUGCUGGUCUCUUCAUAGGAAGAUCUGAAUAUGCGUAGGAAAAUUUUGAAUUUAUGCUACGUUACCCAACAAUAGGUGGUAGCGCGUGUGACUUGGGAGGAAACGGGGGACGGGAAAACGUUUGAUCACGUUGCAUCAUACGCUCUGCGUGCAAACGGCCAAAGUUUCAGCUCGUGUGCCGGAUAUAAGCGUUUUCCUUAGCAUAAUGCGUUGGAUAUGUUAUUGAGUCUCGAGGCCGUGUAUAUAUUGAAUACAAAAUUUGGAGGACAAGACGUCUCCUAGAGAUAACAUGGAAACAAUUUCUAUCUAAUCAAGGACAAUCUCUAAAUACGAAGGACGCCGAUAACCAUCACAUGUGUGGUGGGAGCAAUACCCGAUCACACGCCCAUGAUCACAGAUUGGACCAUGUCAUCGCAUGCAUGCACAAAUGACGAGAUUGAUGAUGUCUAUAUAAAUCUUUUGUCUUUUCAGUUUUUAAAUGUUUUAUUUCUUAAAUAAAAAAUCCGAUUGAAAAACCAUUUUCAUCAUUAAAUCCGUCGUCACGAGAUCUUCAAAACUAGAUUUCAUAUCGAUAUGUUUCGAUUAAUUUUUUGGUUAAAUUGUCAUGUCUAUUUCACAUAAAUUGUCAUCAUGAUUACAUUAAAGUUACCAUGAUAUAUUUCAACUACUUUUUCUUUUUUUAAAGUAAAUUUUCACAUGUUAUAAAAGAGGAAUUAAGAAACUGAACUUGGCAUGAUGAAUUACUAAAUGUUGCCAUGAUCCAUGAAAUAAUUUUGACAUGGUUUAUAAAUAAAAAAGAAAUAUAUCAUCAAUUACUUUAAAAAUGCAUGGUCAAUGGCUCAAAUUUGCAAUGGACCAUGAACUAACAUUAGUAAGAUUGCUCAGAUAAAAGUAAUGUAAAACCCCUUUUCAUGAAAAAUAUCUCAUAAAAAGAAUACUAACAUUUUUACAUACUAAAUAAACAUUCAAAGUUGUGCCUUAAAAAGUGUCCAUGUCUACAAGGUAGUGUAUUUCAAAACGCGAGUAUUUGAUUUUGUUGUGAACUAAUCUUGAAUUAUAAUCCACACAAAAGAACCUUUCAUCAAUGUCUGAAACAUGAUCAUAGUACAAGUAGUUAGUACACAAUCAUGGACACAGAUAGACCAUUAACUAGCAAAGAGCAAGUAAAAUGGCAAAGUGGCUAGCACAUAUAGACCAUUAACAUAUUCCCAAAGGGGGGGGGGGGGGGGGGAAACAACCUCUGUUUUUUUCCACAAUGGAAGAAUACCAGGAUAGCACAUGGAUACAUGUUCAGAGGGUUUCCAGUUUUUACUUGUGCAGUUCAAGCUGCAAUUAAAAAUUAAAAGUUCACUUGCUUCCAUUGCUAGUUUACAGAGCACAUGUACUAACAAAUUCACAGUUUACAGUGGAGACCAGGGAGAAGUGAGAAAAAAAAUCUGUAUAUAUGGAGCAUGUGGCAUGCCUUCGUGACGAAAACAAUCUAACUAGUGUAGCAUAGAUCUUCUCUUCUCCCUCGCAUAGAGGACAGGAAUGGGCAUAUCUAUUCUGUCAGCUUGAAAACAGGGGCGAAACAAAAAUGCUGGGAUUUUACAGUGAGAGCAAAAGUUUGAUCCAAACAUCAUGCCCUUCUCCGCUACUGAGUCCAAGGAAGGUUCCCAGAGUAUGGCACCAUGCCACAAUAGGAGAAUAGACCCUUCAAUUCAGGGCAGCCAUUGGGGUAAGGAAUGGUACGGUGAAACGGGUCUCUCUUGAGCCUCUUUACACGAAGAGAACCAACACAUCCAUAUGGAUCUUCUUGGAACUGAGACCUGACAGAGGCUUCACCUUUCAGAGCUGCCUCCUUUGCUGUAGCUGUAGCUGGGGUACCUGAGAAGAAGAACCUUUCUUCUGGGAACCCGAGAGCAGAUCUGUGCAGCUGCGCAAACCUUUCCUCCUUAAAAUCAUAGCUUACAACCUAAGCAACAAAAUGUUCAGAGUCGCAAAUUAACAAACUAUCAGACAUUGAAGAAUUAAUUGAAAGUACAGAAAAAAUGCAUUACCAACAAGUAAUAGGUGAAAUAAGGUUUCAGCAGAAAGCCUUGACAAAAGAUAAGAAAACUUACAGUUAUAUUCUGUGGGUAUGUUCCAGUGAGUUCUCUGAAACGGCAAACACUAAAUAGGAGAUUCUCAAAACUAUCUCGUGCAUGCUCCUCAGUGAGUGCCCGGCUCCUAACACUAUCAUCAUUUCCUGUGCAAGUACAUGCAAACAGUGAGAAACUUUUGCCAGAUGGUUGCCAAAAUAACUAACGAACUCGAAUUGGAUACAUAAACAGCGGUGGUAAUACUGUGUUCAGAUGAGAAAGUAAACAUGAUAAACUUCAGGAAGCAUCAAGCUCUUCAACCCUACAUUCUGACUAUCCAUGUUUCAGAGAUGGAUUUAUGAGCUGAACUAUAUGUUCGACACAAUUAGAGAACUCAUCAGCCAUUUUCCAAUGUCCUCUGCAAAAUACUAUGAAGCAGCUUCCUGUCAACCAUGUUUUCUACAGCCAUUUUAACCAUUUACUUCCACAACACUAGUAAUUUCUAAAUCAUGAUCAUGGAUCAACAUAUAUAUACAGAACCUAAAUCAAGCAUGGUGUUUUCUUUGCAUUUGCAUCAGAGCAACUGAGUUUGUAUGUAGCAGUCAGAACUCAGAAGUAAUUGUACAUCUAGGCCUUGUUGUUUUAAGUUCAUGAUGAUACGUAUGAUUAACAACCGCACAAAAUACCAAUCAGCACCACAUUUCCGAACCCCAUUGUGCCAACAAUAGUCUUACUAAAGCGCGAAAGAAGGAAUGUUCAUGUAACCUGAAACUCACCAAACCAGCCUUCCGACUCUGCGAUAGCCCAGUAGCUCUGCGCCUCGCUCCUCGGCCCUGCAUCUUUCCUCGUCUCCCCACCGCUAAACAAGAGGAGCGCGCCCUGAUCCCUCGCCGCGAUCUCCACCCCCUCCUUGAUGUGCGCCAAGAAGGUGGACGCCUGGCCGGGGUGCUUCUGGUACGGCUCCAAGAACCACGAAUCCUCGCGGUCGAUCUUCCCGCAGCUGGCGCUGGUGUAUAUCGAAUGGCCGGCCACCAUGACGAGGUUGCGGAGGCCCGGAAGCGGGUGCGCCCCGACCCCAUCGCCGCCGCUCCUCAUCGUUCUGAACCGGGUCUCGUACACGGACAGGAGGAUAAGAACGCUGAGCCCGAAUGACAGCAGGAUGAGGGCGACGGCGACGGGGUGCGCCUCGUAGAAGAAGCGAAUCUUCAUCAGCGCCGAGCUGAGGGGGGCAGGGGCGUCGAGAUGCGAGGCCUUGGGCUUGCGGCCCUUGCGGGGGAUCCCGGACUCGAGAUCGUAGUCGGCUCUAGGGUAGCGGAACGACUUGGGGCUCCCGGGGCCGAACCCCUGGCUGCUCAUCGAGCUCGCCGGAACUCCGCCCUCCCCCGGGGCGGGCGGAUCUAGGUGGUGAUGGAGUGGAGGAGAGGAUUUAGAGCGGCACUGGAUCGGCCGGGUUGGAGCUCGGGGAGGGUCAGAGCAUCAGAGCUGCCUUGGGAGAAGAAGGGAUCGGGGGAGAAAGAGACGGAGGUACCGUGCAGGAUGGUAGGGGAAAAAGUCUAGCCGUGGAAGAUUCGAUGAUUCAGAUAGUUCGCUGCCUCUUCGGAGAUGGAGGAUAGAUUUUAUUUUUUAUUUUCUUAGCACUGUCUUUUCAUAUAAAGAGAAUAAGGCUUAUGUAUAAGAGUGUUUUAGUUUUUUUAAAAGAAAUCGUACAAAAACCUCUAAAAAACCCACACGCUCACACUAAUCAACCAAUACCGCCACCUGUGCCCGGCCAAAGGCCAAAGUCCUUUGCUUGAUAUCGUGGAAGGCAAUAGCUGCUACCUCUAGGUACGUGAGGCGAGUUCUACUGAAGAUGCGUUGGUUUCGCUCCUUCCAGAUGUUUCAGAUGGUGUAAAGGAAGCGGCCGCUCAGCCUUCUUCUGUCGUCUUUGGGCAAAUUGGUGGUGAGCGAAUCCCACCAGUCUGAAAUCCCCAUCGAAGGGGGCAACGUGGGCGUGGCCCCAGAGUCCUCUCUCGUCCAUACCUAGACGUGAGACCAAACUGCGGCGGCAAACGGGCAGUCCUUGCAGAGAUGAAUGGCCGUCUCCGGUGCCCCAAGGCAAAGGGGACAACGAUGGUCGUGCGGCCAGCCACGAACGAAAAGCAUGUCGGCCGUGAGGAUUUUCCUGUGAAGCACAUGCCAGCCGAAGAAGUUGCAUUUUGGCUCCGCGUGUGCCUCCCAAAUAUUGGCUGGGAGAACCUCGGGUAGGAUACAGAGAACUGGACCGCGUAGGCCGAAGCUGCAGAGUAAAUGCCAUUGGGGGUCCACCGCCAAGUGAUGGCGUCCUCCUGGUCUGGGUUCAAAGCAACCUGAGUGAUAGCUAAUGCGAGGCAAUUAACUCAUGCAUGUGGGUAGGCAAUGAAAGACGGGCCACUGAUCUGAUCCAGUUUUCCUCUUGGAGCUCCUUCGUCACACUUCUCCGCUUCCUGGUGGCAAUUUUGUACAGCUCUGGGAAGGCCCGGGACAGAGGGCCCCGUCCUGUCUAGUCGUCGUGUAAGAAUAAGGAUUUUCUUCCAUUGCCCAAGGAGAUGGUGGUAGAAGCCCUGAAAAGUGCCAUGUUCGUCUCAUCGCAGGGCACCGCAGAGCCCACCCAUUGGCGGUCAGGAUUAUUCCACAUAAGCCAAGGCCAGCGAAGUCGCAGUGCCUGACCAAAUCUCUCGAGGUCUGUUAUUCCCAAGCCCCCCAUGGGCUUAGGCCGGCAGACAGUCUUCCAGUUCACCAGAGAGUGUCCGCCAGACGCGUUUUUUGAGUCUUCCCACACCAUAUGAAGUUACGAGUGAUCUUAUUGAGCUUCUAGAUUGCCUAAGUGGGAAGCGAGAGCGUGGUGAGGUGAUGAUUUGCGAUGGCGCACAACACGGACUUUGCAAGGAGGCCCUGCCCGGUCGUGCCAGGUUCUUCCCCUUCCAGCCCGGCAACCUGCCCAUUGCCUUGUCCAGAAGAGGUUGGAGGUCAACCCUUCUUAGCCGCCUGUCAUGUAGUGGAAUACCCACGUAUCGACGGGGAACGAGGCCAGCUUGGCCGAGAAGGCCGAGAGGAUGGCCGGGAGAGCAAUGUCCUGGCAGCGAAUGGGAAACAAAUCGAUCUUGCUGACAUUUGUGAUGAGGCCCGAUGCAUCCCCAAAACAGGCAAGGAUCUGAAUGAUGGCAUCGAUUUCUUUUUUGACUGGGUUAGCAAAGAUGCCAGCAUCGUCAGCAUAGAGAGAAACCCUGCAGGAGGCCAACCGCACCAUGAUGGGCUUGAGGAUCCCGGCUUGGGAAGCUGCCCGGAGCAUAAGUUGCAGAGGAUCGAUGGCCAGAAUGAAGAGCAUAGGCGACAACGAGUCACCCUGGCGAAGGCCUUUUCCAUGCGCGAAUGGGGUUCCUGGCUCCCCAUUUAACAGCACCCUAGAGGAAGAUGAAGCGAUGGUCAUGCAAAUUUGGUCCCGCCAGCGCUGUCCAAAUCCCAACUGUUGUAGCUGAAAGUGCAGUCAUGCCCUUAAUCGAGUUUUGGUGUUAAUGACAACACAUACAUAGGAAACUAAUCUUAUUUGUUGAGUGUAUCUCAGGAUGGCUUUUAAAGUACUCUUAGUAGAUCGGGAAUUAUGUGCCAAGGUGGCUUGAGAAGAUCGGGACUUAUAUGUCAAGAAGGCUCGGGAUUGAGAAACAAGAUGAUGUAGCCUAUCCUUUAAUUUACUAUUCUUGAGUAUAGUGAUCCCGCACUAUUAAGAGGGGAUCACGGGUUUUGCGAUGAACUUGCUCAAACUACAUCUCUACUUCUCUGCUCAUNGGGAAUUAUGUGCCAAGGUGGCUUGAGAAGAUCGGGACUUAUAUGUCAAGAAGGCUCGGGAUUGAGAAACAAGAUGAUGUAGCCUAUCCUUUAAUUUACUAUUCUUGAGUAUAGAGAUCGCGCACUAUUAAGAGGGGAUCACGGGUUUUGCGAUGAACUUGCUCAAACUACAUCUCUACUUCUCUGCUCAUGCCAUUUCUCCUUUACUCUUGUUUGAUUCCAAAACAUAACCAAAGCCUCGGACAUCCGGCUCCCUCCGGACGUCCGAGGGCCGGACGCCCGACCACUUCGGAAAACCGGAGCCUUAUACCAGAGUCAAAAUCUCAGACAUCCGGCUUCCUCCGGGCAUCCGAGGGCCGGACGCCCGACCACUUCGGAAAACCGGAGCCCUAUACCAGAGUCAAAAACCUCGGACUUCCGGCUUCCUCCGGUCGUUCGAGGGCCGUACGUUUGACCUCUUUCGGAAAUCCGUUGCCCUUGAACAGAGCUGAACUCUCGGACAUCCGACCAUCUCUUCGGACGUCCGGUCCCUGUUCGACUACACAGUGGCCAAAUGAUAUGAACACUCCUUCGGUCGUCCGACGCCUGUCAGACGUCCGGAAAACGUCGAACGUCCGACCACUGUCAGACUUAAGUGACCCCAACGGUUACUUUAGUCUCCCCACUAUAUAUACCCCCCUCCCACUUUGUGAGAGGGGGUCCAACACAGCAAGAACACUUACAAGAACACUUUCUUCCUCACUCACUCUUGCCUACACCCAAACUUAGAUCCCAAAAGCAUUUGUGAGCCCGUUUGAGUGUUGUUCCAAUCAAAAGAUAGAUCGUCUCCUUCUCCUCCUCUCCACCAAAGCGAUUUGUGAUUUGAGCAAGUUUUGAGCAAUCCCCGUGAUCUUGUUACUCUUGGAGGUUGGAGACUCCUAGUCAGUAGGAGUCUUCGGAGAGGAAUCAAACCUUUGUGAUUACCCCUCGAAAAGUUUGUGAGGGUUUGGAAGCCACCUCAAGGCUUUCCACUAGUGGUUGAGAAACGCCUUUGUGUUGUUGUCUCAAAGGGAGAAUAGGGUUAGCCUUCGUGGCGUUGGUGUGCCUUCGUGGUAACAUCCGCCCCUCUAACGGUGACGUAGCUUCCCUCCAAGGAAGUGAACACCGGGAUACAUCCUCGUCUCUCUUGGAGUUUUGGUUAUCCCUAACCCUAACUCUCUACUUGUGUUAAUCCUUAUUACGUACUUGCAUUUGAUUAUAGUUUACCGGUUGCCUUACUUUACUCUAAAUAGCUUACUCUUUGUCUUUGCAAUUAUUAGGCUCACUCUCAUAUUUCGCACCAUUGCCUAAAAUUGCUAAGUAACUAUUAAAAUUUGGAACUGUACCUAUUCACCCCCUGAUGGGGUCAUAGUCCCAGGGUAGGGUCAUAGGCCUGCCCUAUAGGUCCUACCCAAGGACUACCCUUCUUAAGGGACAAGGCCCUUAGUCAGUUCCGUCUGAAUUAAGAACUUCCCAUCAUCCAGUCCGUAAUGAUUCCCCCCAUCAUCCAGUCGGAGAUGAGCAUUCGGAGCGUAUUAAACUGCCGACUGGAUUCCACUCUAUAUAUCAUAACCUCCCUGGAGGGCAACGGUUGUACGUUUUCAUACACCAUUAUUAGCAUUUAAGGCAUACGUUACCUGUAACGUAGGCAUUUAUUCGCCACUACUCUACCCCUGUGCACCGGACCGUUGUGAAAGGCAGCGUACUCUAUAUAAGCCGCCCCUCCCCACUGGUGCAGGGGUUAGCAUUUCACUAUACCCCAUAUUUCACUCGACAUUAAGCUCCCAAGAGCACUGAGACGUAGGGCUUUUACCUCCACCGUAGAGGGGCUGAACUCAUACAACCUCGCCGUAGCUAAGGCUCUGCCCAUCCUUUCGUACCCUACACAUCUACUGUCAGACUUAUACCCACGACAGUUGGCGCCCACUAUGGGGCAGGCGUCUAAGCGACUUCUGGCGAGUUUGCGACUACAUCUUUUCAUCAUGUCGUCUGGUGGAGAUUUGUGCAUGGGUCAUGAGAUCCUCUUCGGCGCACUCUCCUUCAUCGUCGAUGAUUCGGCAUGGCUACGGGAUGCACCUCCCGACGUCGAGGUGCUCCCCAAUCGCGGGGCUACGCACUUCCGUGCCGGCGCCCGCGGCAUCCUUCUUCUCCAGCAGUCGGCACCGGUGUCGAUCUUCGCCCCCGUCACGCGCCGCAACAAGCGGUCUUGCCGUCCGCGGCUCCAGCGUUGGGUGCGACACGCCCAGGCGCGCUAGAACGCGUCCUCUCAAGUGGCGGUCCUCGAGUCGGUUGUGGUUGCGCCGUCGUCCCAGCGCUCGGACUCAGUUCCGACUGAGUUGCCUUCCCAGUACUUGGGUCGCGGGCCUACAGCCGAAGUUCACAUGGCCAAUUCCCAUGAAAGUCCCCGCCAAACUAGUCGGAACGAGCACGAGGUCGGCGAGUCAUCCGGCGCUCGCCGUCCGCCCCGCCGUUCUGCCAGUCGACGUACUCGUCAGAGCAACGUGGAGGUGUUCCGCACACCCGUCCUCAACCUGGCUGCCGCCGCCAAGAUAGCCGAUUCCCUCCAGCCGACUGAUUCAGAGGCUGGCAGAGGGAUCAAGCAGAUCCGUGCCCUGCUGCACACGGCGCAGCAGCAGAAUUCGGCGGUCUCCCAGUCGCACAACAGGAUCCAAAACAGUUAUGUUCAUGCGAUCACGCAUCGGCCAGUUUUCAGGCCCGAUUCUCAUCAGCGACACACAGGAGGCAGCCGUUCCAUGAAUCACGAAGAUCGUCGCCGUUCACGCACCCCUCCACGGGGUGGGCCCUACGGGCCCUGACAUCAUGAUGAUCGGCGUUCGGUCGGUGACACUUAUGAUCCAAGUCCCGACACAAGAGGGUACAUCGCCCAGAGGAAGGUCGACAGGAGCCGAGCCCACCGUGAUGGUCACGAUAGAGACCGUCCGAGUGGAAGUAGGACCAUCGUCUCUGGCCCCGAGUGUUUCAGUCGGGCCAUCCGUUCGGCUGACAUCCCUCCCAACUUCCGAUUGGCGACAGGAAUCAGCAAGUUUACAGGAGAAUCCAAGCCAGAAACGUGGUUGGACGACUACCGAGUGGCGUUCCAGAUCGGUGGUGGAGAUGACCAGGUCGCCAUGAAACACCUCCCCCUGAUGCUCGAUGGUUCGGCUCGAGCAUGGUUGAACCAGUUGGCUCCUUCAAGCAUCUACAGCUAGGCAGAUCUGGCCCGAGUCUUCAUCAGGACCUUUGAGGGCACGUGCAAAUGCCCUGCUGGUCUCGUGAAGCUCCAGCACUGCGUCCAGAAGCAGAAUGAGCCCCUGCGCGAUUUCAUCCAGCGUUGGGCAACCCUCUACCACACGAUGGAGAACGUCACAGAGCACCAAGCAGUCUGCGCCUUCAAGGCAGGCGUGCGGUACAGAGAUCUGUACCUGAAGUUCGGUCGGACAGGCGACAUCUCCAUGAGCAAGAUGAUGGAGAUAGCGGCACGCUAUGCAAAUGGCGAAGCAGAGAACCGCAUUCGUAGCGGCAAGCAUAAAGCAGUCGCCGAUGGAGAUGGGAACAACACUCAGAAGCAGAAGCAGAAAGCUCCGUCCACUCCGCAGGCAGAUGCUGCAGCCAUUACCAAUGCCAAGUUCAAGGGCAAGGGGAAGGCUCAGUCCACCCCCAAGAAGAAGCAGUUCGAAAACCACAUCCUGGAUCAGCCAUGUCCAAUCCACACGAAGAUGGACAAAGAAGGCAACGCCAUAUUCCCGAAGCAUACCACUCGGCAAUGUCGCCUCCUGAUCCAAGGGUUCGGCGAAGGGCAGCCGAGUGAAAAGGACAAUGAACAGGAUGGUGAGGACAAGGAGGAUCAGUUCCCCCAAGUCCAUGCAACACUGAUUAUUUUUGCUGACGUGGAAAGCAAGAGUCGACUGAAGCUGGUGAACAGGGAGGUGAACAUGGCCACCCCAACCAACCCCACGUUCCUCAAAUGGUCUCAGACUGCGAUCACCUUUGACCAGUCGGAUCAUCCAGCACACGUGCCCAACCCAGGGAGCCAGGCUCUGGUCGUCGACCCCGUGGUGGAAGGAGUUCGACUGCGCAAAGUCCUCAUGGACGGCGGCAGCGGCUUGAACAUCAUGUAUGCCGACACUCUCAAAGGGAUGGGCAUUCCGAUGUCCAAACUUAGCGAGAGCAGCAUGCAGUUCCACAGAGUCGUCCCUGGACGAAAGGCCAAGUCACUCGGCCAGAUCGCGUUGGACGUCGUUUUCGGCUUCGACAAGAACUUCCGCAAGGAAAAGCUGACAUUCGAGGUGGUGGACUUCCAGAGUGUAUACCACGCGAUUCUGGGCCGUCCGGCGUAUGCGCGUUUCAUGGCCCGUCCAUGUUACGUGUACCUGAAGCUGAAGAUGCCAGGUCCCAAAGGUGUGAUCACUAUCACAGGCAAUCGGCAGCGGGCCGAGGAGUGUGUGCAGCAGGGGUUGAGGAUCGCCGAUCAGCAAAUGGCCAUCCUCGAGCUGGACGAGUACAAGAAGACAGUCGACCCCGCUGACUUGAUGCGUUCGAAGAAGCCAACUUCGGAGUCCGCAUUCCAGUCGGCGGGAGACACGAAGAAGGUCAGCAUCCCCCCGACAGACGACGCCGCUGCCCCGACGAACAUCUCCACCACCCUUGAUCCAAAAUAGGAAGCCGAGCUCAUCCAAUUCCUCCGUGAGAACUGGGACAUUUUCGCAUGUAAGCCCGCUGACAUGCCAGGUGUACCCAGGGAGUUAGCUGAGCACCGAUUGCAUGUGGAUCCUGCUGCUCGGCCUGUCCGAGAACGCCUGCGUCGGUCCGCCGCGCGCAAGAGGAAGGCAAUCGGAGAGGAAGUGGCUAAACUUUUGGAAGCCAACUUCAUUCGCGAGGUACACCACUCCGAGUGGCUCGCCAAUGUUGUCAUGGUGCCCAAGAAGGACAAGUCUCUCCGAAUGUGCAUCGACUUCAAGCAUCUGAAUAAGGUCUGCCCGAAAGACCAUUUCCCGCUCCCCCUCAUCGAUCAAAUUGUCGAUUCGACUGCGGGUUGCGAGCAUUUGUCAUUCCUUGAUGCCUACUCGGGCUAUCAUCAGAUCCGUCUGUAUGGCCCCGAUGAAUUAAAAACAGCCUUCAUCACCCCAUUCGGGUGCUUCUGCUACAUCACUAUGCCAUUCGGUUUGAAGAAUGCAGGAGCAACUUUUAUGCGCAUGAUCCAAAAAUGUCUCCUUGACCAGAUCGGUCGGAAUGUGGAAGCGUAUAUGGAUGAUAUCGUAGUCAAGUCACGCAAAGGUUCCGGCCUGCUGACUGACUUGGCAGAAACAUUCGCUAACCUUCGUAGGUACGAUAUCAAGCUCAACCCUGCCAAGUGUUCAUUCGGUGUUCCCAGCAGAAAGUUACUCGGUUUCUUUGUUUCCGAACGAGGGAUCGAUGUCAACCCCGAAAAGAUCGGGACCAUCGUCCGAAUGGAGCGGCCGGUCAGAAUACACAAUGUUCAAAGGCUCACAGGUUGCCUAGCGGCUUUGAGCAGGUUUAUCAGUCGACUCGGCGAGAAAGCGCUACCUCUGUACCGACUCAUGAAGAAAUCAGAUACUUUAGAGUGGACAGACGAAGCCCAAAUUGCAUUCGACGACCUCAAAGCCCUGCUUUCCACCCAGCCGGUUCUUACUACUCCGCUCAGUAAAGAACCCCUUCUUCUGUACAUCGCGGCUACAAAUCAAGUCGUCAGCACUGUUCUCACAGUCGAACGCGAAGAAGAAGGCAAGGCAUACAAGGUUCAGCGGCCAGUGUACUAUGUCUCCGAAGUCCUGACUCCUUCCAAGCAGAGGUAUCCCCAUUAUCAAAAGCUUAUUUACGGGAUUUACAUGACUGCAAAGAAGGUGGCUCAUUAUUUCCAAGACCAUUCGGUGACCGUCGUUUCUGAUGCUCCGUUGUCGGAAAUCCUCCACAAUCGGGACGCAUCAGGCCGAGUGGCGAAGUGGGCAAUGGAGAUGUUAUACUGCGACAUCAAGUUCGAGGCCAAGAAAGCUAUAAAGUCUCAAGCUCUGGCUGACUUCAUAGCAGAAUGGGUAGAACAACAGCAACCGACCCACAUCUACUCGGCUCAUUGGACAAUGUUCUUCGAUGGGUCCAAGAUGUUGAAUGGCUCCGGCGCUGGCGUUGUGAUCAUAUCGCCAAAAGGUGACAAACUCAAGUAUGUGUUGCAGAUACAUUUCGAUUCCUCCAACAACGAGGCAGAGUAUGAAGCUCUCCUUUAUGGAUUGUGCAUGGCCAUCACACUCGGCGUCCGUCGCCUGAUGGUCUAUGGAGAUUCAUAUUUGGUGGUUGAUCAAGUGAUGAAGGAGUGGGACGUAAGGAACCCCACCAUGACUACAUACUGCAACGCAGUGAGGAAGCUCGAGAAAAAGUUUGAAGGUCUGGAACUGCACCAUGUUCCGCGACUGAAAAACCAAGCAGCUGAUGAGUUGGCGAAACUUGGAUCCACUCGGAGACCAGUCCCGAGUGAUGUCUGCCUCGAGCACCUACACCUUCCCUAAGUUAAAGAAGAUCCCUUCACAGAGGAACCAGUACAACCAAAGAGCUCGACAGAUCCGACUGAAGUCGAGGUCCCCGCUGUGGUUGAUCUGAUCAUGGAGAUUCUUGCUAUCAUCCCCGAUUGGACUAUGUCGUUCAUUGCGUACAUCCUAAGGCGAGAAUUACCAGAAGAUGAGGUCCAAGCCAGACAGAUCGUCUGCAGGUCGAAGUCGUUCACCGUCAUUGAUGGCCAGUUGUACAAAGAAAGUGUUUCAGGCGUCCUUCAAUGAUGCAUCUCCCCUGAGGAGGGGCAGUUAAUCCUGGAAGAAAUUCAUUCGGGAACCUGCGGUCAUCAUGCCUCCUCAAGAGCAAUCGUCGCCAAAGCAUUCAGAGUUGGUUUCUUCUGGUUGCAGGCGAAUGAAAUGGCGAAGGAUAUGGUCGACCGAUGCGAAGGCUGUCAGUUCUACUCCAUGGUUAAACUCUUUCAGUCUAGUUUCUACCUCAUCUGAUGAGUACCUUGAUGCGGAGGAUCACUAUGAGGACAAUGACUUAGAUCAUCCUAUGUUUGCCAAAAUAAACAAAUUUGUGUGCUCUCUUAAAGGAAAGAAGCUCACUAUGUUUCGCAUACUUAUGGAAAUGGUGAGUAAGCACACCAAUACCAUCAAGGAACUCGAAACCCUCGUCACUGAGUAGAAGGAAAGGAAUGAAAUCCUUGAGCAGAAAGUCUUGUAUGAGGAAGCACAAAAUGAUGCAUUAUGCUCAAAAGUUGGUGAAAACCUUGAUAAACAUGCUAACGAUCUUGCCUCCUUGAAAAAGGCUGAAUCUGUGUGCAAAGAGUUAUUAAAUGAUAAAAACAGACUUGUGAAUUCUCAUGCUUCUCUUUCUAAGGCCUGUGAGCACCUAUCCUUGUCUCUCAAGGACAAGGAAGAGAAACUCACUGUUCUUACAAAGAGCUUUGAGGCACUCAAGGUUACUUACCUUGACACUCUAGCUAAGGCUUACUCCUCACCUAUUAUUAAUGUUGAUACCUGCACUGCUAACUCUAGUAGUGAACUGGCAUCUAUUCUUGAGGAAAACUGUUCGCUAAAGGCACAGCUAGAUAGAGGUCUCAUGACAUGUGCACAAGGACAAAAGACUCUCAAUGAGAUCUGAAGUCAACGCAAUGAGGUCUUUGCCAAGGAAGGGCUUGGGUUUAAUCCAAGCAUCGCCAAGAAAAGUGUAUCUCCUCUCAAGUGCACCACCCCGCUAACAUUUGUACGAGAGGGACACAAGGAGAAAGGUAAGGUUGUGAGUGGGUCGGCCACUAGGGGUUUGCCCACUCUCAACAGGACAACAGAGUUCAUGCCUCCAUCCUAUGUACUUCGCAAAUCAAAGGAAAGAGAGGUUUAUGCUAAAUUCGUUGGUCCCUGUAAUGCAUUCCGGUUUUAUGCUAUUUGGGUCCCUAAGACUCUUGUAACUAAUGUGAGAGGCCCCAUGACGAAAUGGGCACCUCAAACCAAGUCUUAAUUCGUGUACAUGAUGUUUUCUCCGGAGGAGUCAAAUGGGUGAUCGACAGUGGAUGCACCAAUCAUAUGACCAGAGAUAGUAACUUGCCCUAUGACUUCAUGCAAGCCAUUCCACCAUACAUGAGCAUUAUAUUCGGAGGAGGGUCGAAAGGACAGGUAAUUGGGUUGGGCAAGGUGGCAAUCACUAAUGACAUGUCUCUUGCAAAUGUCAUGCUUGUCCAAUCUCUUCAAUAUCAUUUGCUUUCAGUUUGCCAAUUGGCUUCCCUUGGUUAUGACACACUAUUUGGACUAACGGAUGUGAAAGUCUUUAAGAGAUACACUCUCGAAGUGGCCGUUGUUGGAGAGUUGGAUGGCAACCUUUACACGGUUGAUUUCUCGAAAGAGAGCACUUUCCAUACAACUUGUCUGAUGGCCAAGGCUGACAUGGGAUGGCUAUGGCAUCGCCGGCUCGCCCAUGUCGGCAUGGGAAAUCUUCAAAGUCUCUUAAAAGGCAAUCAAAUCCUUGGACUAACCAAUGUGUCUUUUAAGAAAGAUCGUGUGUCCAGUGCAUGCAUAGCUGGGAAGCAACAUCAAUCAAAACACCCACCCAAGAAUAUUGUAUCCACCUCAAGGCCUUUAGAGCUCCUUCAUGUGGAUCUGGUUGGGCCUCCUUCAUGGGAUAGUCUUGGUGGGAAAAAGUAUGGACUAGUCAUUGUUGAUGAUUACUCAAGAUACACAUGGGUAUUCUUUCUCAAGUCCAAGGAUGAGACGAAGAUCACCUUCAUUGAUUUUGCCAAACAAGUCCAGCGCAAGUUUGACAAGGCCAUCAAGGCAAUAAGAAGUGAUAAUGGCUCCGAGUUCAAGAAUUACACUCUAGAAGAAUUUCUUAGUGAUGAGGGAAUUGAACAUCAGUACUCUGCACCUUACACCCCUCAGCAAAAUGGUGUAGCAGAGAGGAAGAAUCUGACACUUGUGGAAAUGGCAAGGUCCAUGUUAGACGAAUACAAGUCACCGCAUAGUUUUUGGGCUGAGGUUGUCAACACAGCAUGUCAUGCAUCAAACCGGCUUUUCCUUCGACCAAUAUUGGAAAAUACUCCAUAUGAGCUCCUAACCGGGAACAAGCCCAAUGCCAAGUACUUUCGUGUAUUUGGAUGCAAGUGUUUCAUCCUCAACAAACGGGACCGGUUAGGAAAAUUUCAAUCCAAAACACCUGAAGGGAUUUUUGUUGGCUAUGGAUCAAACUCUCACGCCUACAGAGUCUACAACAAAUCCAAUGGAUGUGUUAUAGAAACCUGUGAUGUGAUGUUUGAUGAAUUUAACCGCUCCCAUGGGGAGCAAGUUGACCUAAGUGAUGCAGGUGAAGAAGAUUCCUCGCAAGAUAUCUUGAACAUGGGUGUAGGUGCACUUCUUCCCAUGGAAUAAGAACCUCAUGAUGAUGACUUUCUCAUCCUCAGGACAGUUCACUGCACGUACGUCCACAAGAUACUAGCACACAUAUCAUGUCAGUUGUUCAGGAUCAAGUGGGAGAACAUGUCUCUCACCCUGAUCACACUCAAGAACAAGUUGACCUUCAAGAGCAAGACCAAAGUAUGGAUAUUGUUGAUGAUGAACCUCAACAGGUGCAACGCGAAGAGGAAUAUCUUCCACCGCACGUUAAUGAUCCAUGUGUUGAGGACGAUGAUGAUGGAAACGAAGUCAAACCUCGUGAAACCAUGACCUCCAUCAUGCCACGUGUGGCCGGUCGUGUUGAUGUUGAUCAAAUCCUCACCGGCGUGUCGGAAGGUAGAGUGACUCGUAAACAUUUAACAAACUUUUGUGCUCACUUUUCGUUUGUCUCUAGUACUGUGCCACACAGGGUUCAUGAUGCAUUGUGUGACAAUGACUGGCUCCUUGCUAUGCAAGAAGAGUUAAACAGUUUUACACGCAACGAAGUAUGGUUAUUGGUAAAACGACCAACUGAGGAACACAAUGUCAUUGGAACUAAAUGGAUCUUCAAGAACAAGGAAGAUGAGAAUGGGACUGUCCUCCGCAACAAGGCAAGGUUAGUAGCACAGGGGUACUCCCAAGUUGAAGGUUUGGACUUUGGUGAGACUUUCGCCCCUGUUGCUCGUCUUGAAUCCAUUCGCAUUCUAUUGGCCUAUGCUGCUUUCAUUGGUUUUACUUUGCAUCAAAUGGAUGUGAAAAGUGCUUUCCUUAACGGUCCUCUACAAGAAGAGGUAUAUGUAUCACAACCACCUGGGUUUGUUGACCCCAAUUACAAAGACCAUGUGUACAAACUUCACAAGGCUCUGUAUGGCCUCAAACAAGCACCCCGUGCUUGGUACGAUCAUCUUAAGAAGUUCUUACUCGAUGAUGGCUUUGUGAGAGGGGUGAUCGAUCCCACUCUUUUUACUAAGAGGGAAAACGGUGAUUUGAUCUUAUGCCAAAUCUAUGUGGAUGACAUCAUUUUUGGUUCUCCUAACAUCCAUUUAUGCAAGAAGUUUGCGGCCUCCAUGACCAAGACCUUUGAGAUGUCACUCAAUACGGACUUGAAGUUCUUUCUUGGGUUUCAAAUACAACAAUUUCAAGAAGGAAUUUUCUUGUCUCAAACUAAAUACCUCAAGGACAUUCUAGAAAAAAUUAAUAUGACAAAUGCUAAACCAAUGAAGAUGCCCAUGGCCACAGAUGUUGUUCUAAAUGAAGGCACCAACGGUAUUCCUUUUGACCCAUCUACUUACCGCUCUAUGAUUGGUUCGUUGCUUUAUCUUUGUGCAUCUAGACCGGACAUCAUGUUAAGUGUAGGCAUAUGUGCUAGAUUCCAAGCUUCCCCUAGGGAAAGCCAUCAUACGGCGGUUAAGCAUAUUCUUAGAUACCUUGUUCACACCCCAAAGUUAGGCCUAUGGCACCCUAAGGAUGCAAAGUUCGAUCUCAUUGGGUACUCCGAUGCGGAUUGGGCUGGUGACAAAGUGGGACGGAAAUCCACUUCCGGUGCAUGUCAGUUUCUUGGAUGUUCCUUGGUAAGUUGGUCCUUGAAAAAGCAGAAUUGUGUUUCUCUCUCCACGGCCGAGGCCGAAUAUAUUGCAGCCGCAAGCUGUGCAACCCAACUGCUAUGGAUGAGGCAAACCCUAAAGGAUUAUGGCAUCACCUAUUGACACGUGCCUCUUCUCUGUGAUGAUGAAAGUGCCAUCAAGAUCUCCGAGAACCCCAUUGAUCACCCUCGCACAAAACACAUUAAUAUUAGGUAUCAUUUCUUGAGAGACCAUGUGCAAAAGGGUGACAUUGAUAUUGCUCAUGUGGUUACCGACAUGCAGCUCGCUGACAUCUUCACCAAGCCACUAUGCGUAGCAAGAUUCUGUCAACUUAGGCGUGAACUUGGUAUCUUGGAGCUUGAUAACUGUCACGCCCAAGAUGCGACCCUAUCCUCAAUUUGGCACGAAGGCCUCGUCAGGGAUAGAAGCGCAUCUCGUCAUGUCGCAAGAAUGGAUACCGUUACAAGUACAUGUACUGAAAAGAAGAGAGAUAUAUAUAGAAUUUGGCUUACACUCGCCACGAGCUACAUCAGAGUCACAGUAGUACAAAUACAUAAUCAUCAUGAAGAAGAGCAGGGUCUGACUACGGACGAAAACAAAAGAGAAAAGAAGAACGACGUCCAUCCUUGCUAUCCCAGGCUGCCGGCCUGGAAACCAUCCUAGACCGAUGAAGAAGAAGAAGANAGAAGAAGCAACUCCAAAUGAACAAUCAACGCGCUCGCAUCGAGUAACCUUUACCUGUACCUGCAAUUGGUGUUGUAGUAAUCUGUGAGCCACAGGGGACUCAGCAAUCUCAUUUCCAAAGGUACCAAGACUAGCAAAGCUUAAUGGGUGAGGCAUGGUUAAGUGGUCAGGUUGCAGCAGCGACUAAGCAUAUAUUUGGUGGCUAACUUACGAGUACAAUAAUAAAGAGGGGGAGAUCUAUGCAUAACGGACGUGACUACUCAUGAUCAAAUGAAUGAUCGUGAACACCUACCUACGUCAGGCAUAACCCCACCAUGUCCUCGAUCGGAGAAAGUACUCACGAAAGAGACAGUCACGGUUACGCACACAGUUGGCAUAUUUUAAUUAAGUUAACUUCAAGUUAUCUAGAACCAGUGUUAAACAAGUUUCCACGUUACCACAUAACCGCGGGCACGGCUUUCCGAAAAAUUUAACCCUGCAGGGGUGCUCCAACUAGUCCAUCACAAAUUACCACAAGCCGCAUAGAAAUCCUCGAUCACGACACUCGCNNNNNNNNNNNNNNNNNNNNNNNNNNNNNNNNNNNNNNNNNNNNNNNNNNNNNNNNNNNNNNNNNNNNNNNNNNNNNNNNNNNNNNNNNNNNNNNNNNNNGUAUCUCUGGGCCCACUCGGUAGAACAUCAUCAUGAGCUCAAUGUGACUAAGGAGUUAGUCACACGAUGACGUGCUACGGAACGAGUAAAGAGACUUACUGGUAACGAGAUUGAACAAGGUAUAGGUAUACCGACGAUCGAAUCUCGGGCAAGUUCUAUACCGACAGACAAAGGGAAUCGUAUACGGGAUUGAUUGAAUCCUUGACAUCGUGGUUCAUCCGAUGAGAUCAUCGUGGAGCAAGUGGGAGCCACCAUGGGUAUCCAGACCCCGCUGAUGGUUAUUGGCCAGAGAGGUGUCUCGCUCAUGUAUGCCUGUCUCCCGAACCCGUAGGGUCUACACACUUAAGGUUCGAUGACGCUAGGGUUAUAGGGAAUUGUUAUACGAGGUUACUGAAAGUUGUUCGGAGUCCCGGAUGAGAUCCCGGACGUCACGGGGAGCUCCGUAAUGAUCCGGAGGUAAAGAUUGAUAUAUAGGACGGAUGGUUUUGGACACCGGAAGUGUUUCGGGCGUCACCGGUAAUGUACCGGGACCACCGGAGGUGGCCCCGGGGACCACCGAAGGGGGGCAACGACCCCGGGAGGCUAGAUGGCCUAAGUGGGGAAGGGAACCAGCCCCUAGGUGGGCUGGUGCGCCCCCCACCCAGCCCAUGCGCAUCAGAGAAAGGGGGAAGGGGGAAACCCUAGGCGCAGUUGAGGCCCAAGGCCCACCUAGGGUGCGCCCCCCCUUUCCCUGCCCUGGCCGCCGCCCCCCUCCCAUCUGGUGGCUGCCGCACCACCUAGGUGGGGAACCCUAGGGGUGGCGCACCCCCUCCCCCUCCUCCUAUAAAUAUAGAGGGGUUUUGUCCAUUGGAGAACACACUUUGCCCUCUCUCUCGGCGCAGCCCUGCUCUUCUUCCNGCGCGGGAGACGUCACCGGGCUGCACGUGUGUUGAACGCGGAGGUGCCGUUGUUCGGCACUAGAUCGGAAUCGCUGCGAGUACGACUCCAUCAACCGUGUUCUAGCAACGCUUCCGCUUAGCGAUCUUCAAAGGUAUGAAGAUGCUCUUACCCCUCUUUCGUUGCUGGUCUCUCCAUAGGAAGAUCUGAAUAUGCGUAGGAAAAUUUUGAAUUUAUGCUACGUUACCCAACAGUGGCAUCCAACCAGGUUUUCUAUGCGUAGAUUCUAUGCACGAGUAGAACACAAAAGUUGUGGGCGAUGAUUUGUCAAUUUGCUUGCCGCUACUAGUCUUAUUCUUUUCCGGCGGUAUUGUGGUAUGAAGCGGCCCGGACCGACUUUACACGUACACUUACGUGAGACUGGUUCCACCGACAGACAUGCACAUCGUGCAUAAAGGUGGCUAGCGGGUGUCUCUCUCUCCUACUCUAGUCGGAUUGGAUUUGAUGAAAAGGGUCCUUAUGAAGGGUAAAUAGCUUUGGCAUAUAAUCGUUGUGGCUGUCACGUAGGUAAGAAGGCGUUCUUGCUAGAAACCCAAAUCAGCCACGUAAAACUUGCAACAACAAUUAGAGGACGUCUAACUUGUUUUUGCAGGGUUUGACAUGUGAUGUGAUAUGGCCAAAGUUGUGAUGUUGCAUGUAUAAUGUAUGAGAUGAUCAUGUUAUUGUAAUAGGUUUCACGACUUGCAUGUCGAUGAGUAUGACAACCGGCAGGAGCCAUAGGAGUUGUCUUAAUUUAUUGUAUGAGAUGCAACGCCAUGUGCUUACUACUUUUACUUCAUUGCUAACGGUUAGCUAUAGUAGUAGUGAUAGUAGUAGUUGGCGUGACGACUUCACGGAGACACGAUGAUGGAGAUCAUGAUGAUGGAGAUCAUGGUGUCACGCCGGUGACGAUGAUGAUCAUGCGAUGCCUGAAGAUGGAGAUCGAAAGAGCAAAGAUGAUAAUGGCCAUAUCAUGUCACUAUAUGAUUGCAUUGUGAUGUUUAUCAUGUUUUACAUCUUAUUGCUUAGAACGACGGUAGCAUAAUAAGAUGAUCCCUCUUGAAAUUUCGAGAACGUAUUCCCCUAAGUGUGCACCAUUGCGAAGGUUCGUUGUCUCGAAGCACCACGUGAUGAUCGGGUGUGAUAGAAUCUAAGGUUCGCAUACAACGGGUGUAAGCCAGAUUUACACAGGCGAAACACCUAGGUUGACUCGACGAGCUUAGCAUGUACAGACAUGACCUCGAAUACAAGAGACCGAAAGGUCGAACAUGAUUCGUAUGGUUGAAUACGAUCAGCAUGGAGUUGCUCACCAUGGUGACUAGUCCGUCUCACGUGAUGAUCGGACACGGGUUAGUCAACAUGGAUCAUGUAUCACUUAGAUGACUAGAGGGAUGUCGAUUUAAGUGGGAGUUCAUAUUUAAUUUGAUUAAAUGAACUUAAUUGUCAUGAACUUAGUCUAAAAGUUGUCUUUAUAAAUAUUGUAGAUGUCCAACGUCAACCUCAAUUUCAACGCAUUCCUAGAGAAAAACAAGCUGAAAGAUGAUGGUAGCAACUAUGCGGACUGGGUUNNNNNNNNNNNNNNNNNNNNNNNNNNNNNNNNNNNNNNNNNNNNNNNNNNNNNNNNNNNNNNNNNNNNNNNNNNNNNNNNNNNNNNNNNNNNNNNNNNNNCGAGACACCUCUCUGGCCAAUAACCAUCAGCGGGGUCUGGAUACCCAUGGUGGCUCCCACUUGCUCCACGAUGAUCUCAUCGGAUGAACCACGAUGUCAAGGAUUCAAUCAAUCCCGUAUACGAUUCCCUUUGUCUGUCGGUAUAGAACUUGCCCGAGAUUCGAUCGUCGGUAUACCUAUACCUUGUUCAAUCUCGUUACCAGUAAGUCUCUUUACUCGUUCCGUAGCACGUCAUCGUGUGACUAACUCCUUAGUCACAUUGAGCUCAUGAUGAUGUUCUACCGAGUGGGCCCAGAGAUACCUCUCCGUCACACGGAGUGACAAAUCCCGAUCUCGAUUCGUACCAACCCAAUAGAUACUUUCGGAGGUACCCGUAGUGCACCUUUAUAGUCACCCAGUUACGUUGUGACGUUUGAUACACUUAAAGCACUCCUACGGUAUCCGAGAGUUGCACAAUCUCAUGGUCGAAGGAAAAGAUACUUGACAUUAGAAAAUCAUUAGCAUACGAACAAUACGAUCUAGUGCUAGGCUUAGGAUUGGGUCUUGUCCAUCACAUCAUUCUCCCAAUGAUGUGAUCCCAUUAUCAAUGACAUCUAAUGCCCAUGAUCAGGAAACCAUGAUCAUCUAUUGAAUAACGAGCUAGCCAACUAGAGGCUUGCUAGGGACACAUUGUGAUCUAUUUAUUCACACAUGUAUUACUGUUUCCUGUUAAUACAAUUAUAGCAUGAACAAUAGACGAUUAUCAUGAACGAGGAAAUAUGAUAAUAACCAUUUUAUUAUUGCCUCUAGGGCAUAUUUCCAACACCUAUUGCAUAUGGUGGGUGGGUCUAUGCAGUCUCUUCGUCAGUUGUCCCCUCCACCACUCCUUUCUUCUUCCUCAUCUCUCCGCCGCCAUAACUCAUUUUCUUCUCCAUCAUCUCCGACGUUCCCUCUCUUUCCUGCUGCAGCACCUUUGGCAUACGCACUUGGCAAGUGUGCCGCGACGAGACCCCUCUCCAGCAGACGCCCAGCUCUAGGAACUCGAACUGCGUGUUGUAGGUGCUGCAAGCAUAGGUUGCCGAGUUGGAACGCUAGCCACCCCGUGUCGCGAACUGGUUACACCGGUGAGCUGAAAAUGGCGCACGCGACCUGCCGUGCUACAACCAUUGAUACAAUAUGUUGGAACCCGCCGACAGAGGAGCUGCAACCGGCCAAGCCAAGAGCUGGAACCGACGCAUGUUGUGCUGGGCAUCGCCACACGUGCCAUGUUAGAACCAUGUUCUGGCGAUGCUAGAACCGUGUUCCAGAGAUGUUGGAACCAUGUUCUAGCAAUGUUGGAACCGUGUUUUAGCAAUGCUGGAAUGGGGGUCGGUGAUGCUUAAAAGCUUUAGGACAGCGGGCAAAAUGCUGGAACCAUUACCGACAAAAGUUGCAAUAGUCGUCAGAUUUUGCUACCACCGGCAAAGGAUUCUGCUACAUGCUUCAUGGCAGAGCUGCAACCCUGCGACGGCGAUGACUUUUUUUCCACAGUCGUAGUUAUUUUUCGCUACCACUGGUGAUGUAUUUUGCCACAUCCAUUAAAUGUCGUUUAGUAUUGGCCGUCCAUAAUCCCGUGCAACUAGUGCCGACGCCGAGUGCGACCGCGGUUGUGCAUCGUGGUGUUGCAUAAUGAUGCAUCAACGGCUGGAGUUGCAGCCAGUUAGGGCGGAGUUGCAAGCGAAAUUGAUGAGCGGGGAAGUUCUUCGACAAGCAGCGGAGGGCUGCGAGUCGUCGGAGUGUGAGCGCCGACGACCGACGUCUGUUUGCCCUCGCGGAGCUGCACACGGAGGCGUAGGAGCGUGGGGUAGGGUGUGGGGAUUUUUUUCUUUGAUAUGCGAUGGGAGAUAGAGGACGAGUCAAGGAUGAAGGAGAGAGCUAGAUCGGAUGACUGAUCUAUGCCAGAUCGAACGGUUGGGGUUCGAGUGGCCGAAACUUUCAGCUAGUACUGCCCUUUCUCUAUCUAUUCUAACACACCAUGAAGCUUGGUGGAGAGUUCAUCCACUACCUCUAUAAAAGCACGAAGAGGCAGAUCCAACUCACCAUCUCACCUGCCUGAUUACGUCAUCAAUCGUCAAGAAUUAUCAUUAAAAAAUUCAUCCCAGCUAACGAAACCAAUUGAAGCCAAUCCCAUCGGCGAGGAAACCCACCCACACUUCCACGCCCGGGAACCGCUCACAAAAUCACCUCGCUUGAGAACUCAUCCAGGCCUAGCUCNNNNNNNNNNNNNNNNNNNNNNNNNNNNNNNNNNNNNNNNNNNNNNNNNNNNNNNNNNAGCCGCCGUCGCUGCCUCGCGCAACAACCACAACCAUUGCCCUCGCCUCACAUAGCGACGCGUCGCCCGUCGCUCGGCCAACCCGGACAAGCAGGACAAGGGCGCAGGGCAAGGAAAGGACAUGGGCGAUCGCAAUGAACCCUCCUUUCAUGGUAUUUAUCAUUUUUAUGCGAUGAACGCAACCUGUAGGUGCCUCCGUUCAUGAUUUGCAUAUCCAGAAUUUGUUGUCUGGCCAUCUAAGAGAAUUAGCUCACUACGCUAAGGAAUUAGGACAAUUCAGUUACAUGAUCUGACUGUUUAUAGAGGGAUCUAAAAGACUGAUGAUAUGCAAAUAUGAUCUCAAGUCUCAAAGUGCAUGUUGUUCUAUGUUCUUGGGCAUGUACAAAGGCUUAGAUAAACACCACCAAGGUUGAGGACGAAAAAGAUUGCACACACUAACCAUUAUUAUCUUCUUGUGAUAAUUUUAGGCUUGUACGAGGAAACUUGAAGAGGCAAUUUUAGUUGGUGGUGUGCUUUAAUAUUUCAUAUUGUUGUUCGUGUGUUCCUGUUGGAAAUAUGCCCUAGAGGCAAUAAUAAAGUGGUUAUUAUUAUAUUUCCUUGUUCAUGAUAAUUUUCUAUUGUUCAUGCUACAAUUGUAUUAACUGGAAACAGUAAUACAUGUGUGAAUAUAUAGACCACACCAAGUCCCUAGUGAGCCUCUAGUUGACUAGCUCGUUGAUCAAAGAUGGUUAAUGUUUCCUAACCAUAGACAAGUGUUCUCACUUGAGUUCUAGAAUGGUCUGGAAACGAAGAUUGAUAUAUAGGAAGUUGGUAGUUCGUAGUAUCAUUUCCCUAGACCAUGAGAUUGUGCAACUCCCGGAUACCGUAGGAGUGCUUUGGGUGUAUCAAGAAUCACAACGUAACUGGGUGAUUAUAAUGGUGCACUACAGGUAUCUCUGGAAGUGUAUGUUGGGUGGGCACGAAUCGAGAUUGGGAUUUGUCACUCCGUAUGAAGGAGAGGUAUCUCUGGGCCCACUGAGUAAUACAUCAUCCUAUUGAGCUCAGUGUGACUAAGGAGUUAGUCACAGGAUCAUGUGUUACGGAACGAGUAAAAAAACUUGCCUCUAACGAUAUUGAACAAGGUAUGGGGAUACCGACGAUCGGAUUUCGGGCAAGUUAUAUACCGAUAGACAAAGGGAAUUGCAUACGGGAUUGAUUGAAUCCCCGACAUCGUGGUUCAUCCGAUGAGAUCAUCGUGGAACAUGUGGGAGCCAACAUGGAUAUCCAGAUCCCGCUAUUGGUUAUUGACCGGGGAGGUGUCUCGGUCAUGUCUGCAUGGUUCCCGAACUCGUAGGGUCUACACACUUAAGGUUCGAUGACGCUAGAGUUGUAAUGAGAAUAAUAUGUGGUUAUCAAAAGUUGUUCGGAGCCCCGGAUGAGAUCCCAGACGUCCCGAGGAGCUCCGGAAUGGUCAGUAGGUAAAGAUUCAUAUAUAGGAAGUGGAGAUUAGAUCACAGGAAAUGUUUCGAGGAUCAUCGGUAUUGUACCGGGACUACCGGAAGGGUUACGGGGGUUCACCAGCCCCGGAGAGCCACGUGGGCCAAAAGUGGAAGGAAACCAACCCCUAGAUGGGCUGGUGCGUCACCCACCAAGGCCCAAGGAACCUAGGGCUAGCAACCCUAGGGCGUGGAGGUGGCCCACCUCCAACUUGGGAGGCAAGCCACCUCCCACCUGGCCACCGCCCCCUGCUUGGACCGCCGCCCCUCCUAGGGUUACCUAGGGUGGCCGGCCUGCCUUUCCCCUCCCCUAUAUAUACCCAAGGGUUUUGGGGCUGCAACACACAACUUUUCUCUCCCUCUUGGUGCAACCCUACCCUCUCUCUUUCUCCUCCUCCGCGGUGCUUGGCGAAGCCGUGCCGGAGAACCACAUAGCUACACCGCCACCACGCCGACGUGCUGUCGAAGCUCUCCAUCAACUUCCCCUCUCCCCUUGCUGGUUCAAGGUAGAGGAGACAUCAUCGGUUUGCACGUGUGUUGAACGCGGAGGCGUCGUUGUUCGGCGCUUUGGAUCACAUCUACCGCGAUUUGAAUCGCUAUGAGUACGACUCCAUCACCCGCAUUCCUAGUAACGCUUCCGCUUAGCAAUCUUCAAAGGUAUGAAGAUGCUCUACCCCUUGCUCGUUGCUAGCAUCUCCUAGAUUGAUCUUGCUGUUUCGUUGCUAGCAUCUCCUAGAUUGAUCUUGCCGCGCCCGAAGAUGGAGAUCAAAGGCGCAAGAUGAUAAUGGCCAUAUCAUGUCACUAUAUGAUUUGCAUGUGAUGUUUAUCAUGUUGUUCAUCUUAUUGCUUAGAAUGACGGUAGCAAAGAUAAGAUGAUCCCUCGUUAAAUUUCAAGAUAAGUAUUCCCCUAAGUGUGCACCGUUGUGAAGGAUCGUUGUCUUGAAGCACCAUGUGAUGGUCGGGUGUGAUAGAUUCUAACGUUCGCAUACAAUGGGUGUAAGCCAGAUUUACACACACAAAACACUUAGGUUGACUUGACGAGCCUAGCAUGUACAGGAAUGGCCUCAGAAUACGAGAGACCAAAAGGUCGAACAUGAGUCGUAUGGAUGAUACGAUCAACAUGGAGAUGUUCACCAUUGAUGACUAGUCUGUCUCACGUGAUGAUCGGACACGGGCUAGUCGACAUGGAUCAUGUAUCACUUAGAUGACUAGAGGGAUGUCAAUCUAAGUGCGAGUUCAUUAAAUAAUUUGAUUAGAUGAACUUAAUUAUCAUGAACUUAGUCUAACAAUGUCUUUACAGUAUUGUAGAUCCAAUGGCCAAUGCUCCUGUCAACCUCAAUUUCAACACGUUCCUAGAGAAAACCAAGCUGAAAGACGAUGGUAGAAACUAUGUGGACUGAGCUCGUAACUUAAAGCUCAUCCUCAUUGCUUCCAAGAAGGCAUAUGUCCUUGAUGCGUCGCUAGGUGACCCUCCCGUUCCCACGGCAGCCCAGGACGUUCAUAACGCGUGGCAGUCACGAAGUGAUGACUACUCUCUGGUUCAUUGUGGCAUGCUAUACAGUUUAGAACCGGGGCUCAAAAAACGUUUUGAGCAACCUGGAGCAUAUGACAUGUUCGAGGAGCUGAAAUUGGUUUUCCAAGAUCAUGCCCAGAUCAAGAGAUAUGAGGUCUCCGACUAGUUCCUCAGCUGUAAGAUGGAGGAAAAUAGUUCUGUCAGUGAGCACAUACCCAGAAUGUGUGGGUUGCACAACCGUCUGUCUCAGCUGGAAGUUAAUCUUCCGGAUGACGCGGUUAUUGACAGAAUCCUCCAGUCGCUUCCACAUAGCUACAAGAGGUUCGUGAUGAAUUAUAACAUGCAAGGGAUGGAAAAGAACAUUCCCGAGUUAUAUUCAAUGCUGAGAUCAGCGGAGGUGGAAAUCAAGAAGGAACAUCAAGUGUUGAUGGUGAAUAAGACCACUAGUUUAAUAAAAGGCAAGGGUAAAAAGAACUUCAAGAAGGACGGCAAAGAAGUUGCCACGCCCGGUAAAAAGGUUUCCUGGAAGAAGCGCAAGAAUGUCGCAAGCCUGAGACUGAGUGUUGUCAUUGCAAGGGAGCCAGUCACUGGAAGCGAAACUACCCCAAAUACUUAGCGGAUAAGAAGGCCGGAAAUGUCAAAGGUAUAUAUGAUGUACAUGUUAUUGAUGUGUACCUUACCAGCACUCGUAGUAGCUCCUAGGUAUUUGAUACCGGUGUUGUUGCUCACAUUUGCAACUGAAAAACAGGAACUGCAGAAUAAGCAGAGACUGGCAAAGGGCAAUGUGACGAUGCUCGUGGGAAUGGUUCCAAGGUCGAUGUGAUCGUCGUCGGCACGCUACCUCUACAUCUACCUUCGGGAUUAGUUUUAAACCUUAAUAAUUGUUAUUUAGUACUAGCUUUGAGCAUGAACAUUGUAUCUGAAUCUCGUUUGAUGCGAGAUGGCUACUCAUUUAAAUCUUAGAAUAAUGGUUGUUCUAUUUAUAUGAGUGAUAUGUUUUAUGGUCAUGUCCAUCUGGUCAAAGUUUAUUCUUAAUGAAUCUCGAACGUGAUGUUAUGCAUAUUCAUAGUGUGAGUACUAAAAGAUGCAAAAUUAAUAAUGAUAGUCCCACAUACUUGUGGCAUUGCCUCCCUGGUCAUAUCGGCGUCAAACGCAUGAAGAAACUCCAUGCUGACGGACUUUUGGAGUCUCUUGAUAAUGAAUCAUUUGACACGUGCAAGCUGUGCCUCAUGGGUAAGAUGACUAAGACUCUGUUCUCCGGAACAAUGGAGCGAGCAACCAACUUGUUGGAAAUAAUACAUAGCGAUGUAUGCGAUCCAAUGAGCGUUGAGGCUUGCGGUGGCUACCGUUAUGUUCUCACCCUCACUAAUGACUUAAGCAGAUAUGGGUAUGUCUACGUAAUGAAACACAAGUCUGAAACCUUUGAAAGGUUCAAGGAAUUUCAGAGUGAGGUUGAAAAUCAACGUGACAAGAAAAUAAAGUGCCUACGAUCUGAUCAUGGAGGAGAAUAUUUGAGUCACGAGUUUGGCACACACUUAAGAAAAUGUGGAAUUGUUUCACAACUCAUGCUGCCUGGCACACCUCAGUGUAAUGGUGUGUCUGAGCGUCGUAAUCGCACUCUAUUGGAUAUGGUGUAAUCUAUGAUGUCUAUUACUGAUUUAUCGCUAUCAUUUUGGGGAUACGCAUUGGAAACUUCCGCAUUCACUUUAAAUAGGGCACCGUCUAAAUCCGUUGAGAUGACACUGUAUGAAUUAUGCUUUGGGAAGAAACCUAAGCUGUCGUUUCUGAAAGUUUGGGGCUAUGAUGCUUAUGUGAAGAAACUUCAACGUGAGAAGCUCAAACCCAAAGCGAAAAAUGCGUCUUCAUAGGAUACCCUAAGGAAACUAUUGCGUAUACCUUCUAUCUUAGAUUCGAAGGAAAAUCUUUGUUGCCAAGAACGGAUCCUUUCUAGAGAAAGAGUUUCUCUCAAAAGAAGUAAGUGGGAGGAAAAUAGAACUUGAUGAGGUAACUGAAAUCCCUCUUGAACUAGAAAGUAGCGCAGCGUGGGAAAUUGUUCCCGUGGUGCCUGCACCGACUAGAGAGGAAGUUAAUGACGAUGAUCAUGAAACUUCGGAUCAAGUUACUACUGAACCUCUAAGGUCCACAAGGAUAUGUUCCGCACCAGAGUGGUUCGACAACCCAGUCCUAGAAAUAAUGUUGUUAGACAACGGUGAACCUUCGAACUAUGAAGAAGCAAUGGUCGGCCCGGAUUCCAACAAAUGGCUUGAAGCCAUGAAAUUCGAGAUAGGAUCCAUGUAUGAGAACAAAGUAUGGACUUUUGUGGACUUGCCCAAUGAUCAGCAAUCCACAGAAAAUAAAUGGGUCUUUAAGAAGAAUACUGACGCAGAUGGUAAUGUGACCGUCUAUAAGGCUGAGCUUGUCGCUAAGGGUUACCGACAAGUUCAAGGAGUUGACUACGAUGAGACUUUCUCACCCAUAGCGAUGUUGAAGUUCGUCCGAAUCAUGUUAGCAAUUGCCGCAUUUUAUGAUUAUGAGAUCUAGCAAAUGGACGUCAAAACGACAUUCCUUAACAGUUUCCUUAAGGAAGAAUUGUAUAUGAUGCAUCCAGAAGGUUUUGUCGAUCCUAAGAGUGCUGACAAGGUAUGCGAGCUCCAACGCUCCAUCUAUGGGCUGGUGCAAGCAUCUCAAAGUUGGAACAUUCACUUUAAUGAGGUGAUUAAAUCGUUCGGGUUUAUGCAGACUUAUUGAAAAGCCUGCAUUUACAAGAAAGUGAGUGGGAGCUCUGUAGCAUUCCUCAUUUUAUAUGUGGACGACAUAUUGCCGAUGGAAAAUGAUAUAGAACUUUUGGAAAGCGUAAAAGCCUACUUGAAUAAGUAUUUUUCAAUGAAGGACCUUGGGGAAGCUGCUUACAUAUUAGGCAUCAAGAUCUAUAUAGAUAGAUCGAGAUGCCUCAUAGGUCUUUCACAAAACACAUACCUUGACAAGAUAUUGAAGAAGUUCAAUAUGGAUAAGUCUAAGAAGGUGUUAUUGCAUGUAUAGCAAGGUAUGAGAUUGAGUAAGACUCAAUGCCCGACCAAAGCACAAGAUAGAGAAAAGAUGAGUAACAUCCCCUAUGCUUCAGUCGUAGGCUCUAUUAUGUAUGCCAUAGUGUGUACCAGACCUGAUGUGAACCUUGCCAUGAGUUUGGUAGGGAGGUACCAAAGUGAUCCUGGUAUGGAACGCUGGACAACGGUCAAUAAUAUCCUAAAGUACCUGAAAAGGACUAAAGAUAUGUUUCUCGUUUAUGGAGGUGCCGAAGAGCUCGUCGUAAAGGGUUACGCCGAUGAUAGCUUCGACAGAGAUCCGGAUGACUCCAAGUCACAAAUCGGAUACGUGUAUGUUUUGAAUGGUGGGGUAGUCAGCUGGUGCACUUUUAAGCAAGGCGUCGUGGCGGCAUCUACAUGUGAAGCAGAGUACAUAGCUGCUGCAGAAGCAGCGCAUGAAGGGAUCUGGAUGAAGGACUUCAUCACUGACCUAGGAGUAAUUCCCAGUGCGUCGGGCCCGAUGACUCUCUUGUGUGAUAACACUGGAGCUAUUGUCAUAGCCAAGGAGCCCAAGCACAUCAAGCGCUGCUUCAACUCCAUCCGUGAUUACAUUCAGGAAGGAGAUAUAGAUAUUUGUAAAGUACAUGCAGAUCUGAAUGUUGUAGAUCUUUUGAGUAAACCUCUUCCGCGAGCGAAACAUGAUCAACACCAGAACUCUACGGGUGUUCGUUUCAUCACAAUGUAACUAGAUUAUUGACUCCAGUGCAAGUGGGGGACUGUUGGAAAUAUGCCCUAGAGGCAAUAAUAAAGUGGUUAUUAUUAUAUUUCCUUGUUCAUAAUAAUUGUCUAUUGUUCAUGCUACAAUUGUAUUAAGAGGAAACAGUAAUACAUGUGUGAAUAUAUAGACCACACCAAGUCCCUAGUGAGCCUCUAGUUGACUAGAUGGUGGAUCAAUAGAUGGUCAUGGUUUCCUGCUCAUGGACAUUGGAUGUCAUUGAUAAUGGGAUCACAUCAUUAGGAGAAUGAUGUGAUGGACAAGACACAAUCCUAAGCAUAGCACAAGAUCGUGUAGUUUGUCUCCUAAAGCUUUUCUAAUGUCAAUUAUCAUUUCCUUAGACCAUGAGAUUGUGCAACUCCCAGAUACCGUAGGAGUGCUUUGGGUGUAUCAAAAGUCACAACGUAACUGGGUGAUUAUAAAGGUGCACUACAGGUAUCUCCGAAAGUGUCUGUUGGGUGGGCACGAAUCGAGACUGGGAUUUGUGACUCCGUAUGACGGAGAGGUAUCUCUGGGAUCACUCGGUAAUACACCAUCCUGUUGAGCUCAAUGUGACUAAGGAGUUAGUCACACGAUCAUGUGUUACAGAACGAGUAAAAGACUUGCGAGUAACGAUAUUGAACAAGGUAUGAGGAUACCGACGAUAGGGUCUCGGGCAAGUUAUAUACCGAUAGACAAAGGGAAUUGCAUACGGGAUUGAUUGAAUCCCCGACAUCGUGGUUCAUCCGAUGAGAUCAUCGUGGAACAUGUGGGAGACAAUAUGGAUAUCCAGAUCCCCCUGUUGGUUAUUAACCGGAGAGGUGUCUCGGUCAUGUCUGCAUGGUUCCCGAACCCGUAGGGUCUACACACUUAAGGUUCGAUGACGCUAGAAUUGUAAUGAGAAUAGUAUGUGGUUACCGAAAGUUGUUCAGAGUCCCGGGUGAGAUCCCGGAUGUCACGAGGAGCUCCGGAAUGGUCCGGAGGUAAAGAUUCAUAUAUAGGAAGUGGAUAUUAGAUCACCGGAAAUGUUUCAAGGAUCAUCUGUAUUGUACUGGGACCACCAUAAGGGUUUCGAGGGUCCACCGGGAGGGGCCACCAGCCCCGGAGAGCCACGUAGGCCAAAAGUGGAAGGGAACCAGCCGCUAGAUGGGUUGGUGCGCCACCCACCAAGGCCCAAGGCGCCUAGGGCUGGUUACCCUAGGGCGUGGAGGUGGCCCACCUCCAACUUGGGAGGCAAGCCACCUCCCACCUGGCAACCGUCCCCUGCUUGGGCCACCGCCCCUCCCAUAUGGGUGGCCGCCGCCCCUCCUAGGGUUUCCUAGGGUGGCCGGCCUGCCCUUCCCCUCCUCCUAUAUAUAUCCAAUGGUUUUGGGGCUGCAACAUGCAAGUUUUCACUCCCUCUCGGCGCAGCCCUACCCUCUCUCUCCAUCCUCCUCCGCGGUGCUUGGCGAAGCCCUGUCGGAGAACCACAUAGCUCCACCGCCACCACACCGUCGUGCUGCCGGAGCUCUCCACCAACUUCCCCUCUCCGCUUUCUGGUUCAAGGUAGACGAGACGUCACCGGGAUGCACGUGUGUUGAACAUGGAGGCACCGUUUGUCGGCCCUUUGGAUCACAUCUACUGCGAUCUGAAUCGCUACGAGUACGACUCCAUCACCCGCGUUCAUAGUAACGCUUCCGCUUAGCAAUCUUCAAAAGUAUGAAGAUCAUCUACCCCUUGCUCGUUGCUAGCAUUUCCUAGAUUGAUCUUGGUGUUUCGUAGGAAUUUUUUUGAAUUUCUCCCUCGAGCCCCAACAGUUCCUCCAUCAUCGUGUCUUCUUCUAUUAGUUUGAAUUUUCUAGCGCAUGAACUACCAAGUGAAUUUUCCUAGCUCCGAUGGUUGCGCCACUGAGGAUGCUAUCAGCGAAAAUAAAGGCAAUUUGUACUGGGACGUCUUGGCCGAGCUGCAGGACCUCCGCCUCGACGAGCUGUAGAAUCUCCACCUCGCUCUGGUUUUUGUGGUACGGGCCCUUCCCCACUCCAUCAAAUAGUGACUUAUAUUUUGUUCUGCUUUGUUCUUAGACAAGUGUGGUAAAUUGUAUGGUAAAGUGUGGCAUCUACUACCCCUAUAAAGCACGAAGAGACAGAUCCAAAUCCUCAACUCAGCCAUUUGAUUACAUCAUCAAUGAUCAAAAAUCAUUGUUAACGAAAUUCAUCCCAUCGCUAACGAAGAUAAUCCCAUCGCUGAGGAAACCCACCCCCACUUCAAUGCUCAAGAACCGCUCGCAAACUCAGCCACGCCGCCCGACCUCCCCACCCCCGAUGGUCGCUCGCCUCGUCCAGCCACCGGCCCCGCUCGGCCCACUUGCCCCCACUCGUCGCUCGCCUCGCGCCGUCGCCCUUGUCUCACACAGCCUCGUGCAGUCGCCGCCCCCGCCUCGUGCAGCCACCGCCACCACCUUGCGCAGCCUCACGCCGUCCUCUCUGCUCACCCGGACAAGCGGGACAAGGGCACCGUUCAAGGAGAGGACAGGGGCGAUCGCGGUGAACCCUCCGUUCAUGGUACUGUAACGUCCAAGAUGUGGCACUAUCCAUAUUUGGGGAUUAGGUCUUAAUAUGGAUAGAGGCACAUCUUAGCGUUUCGCAAGUACAUAAAUCACCGCAAUACAUUUAUGAAGAGAAGAGUAUAUUGAUUAGCUUACACUCGCCACAAGUUAAGUUACAAGCCACACAACAUUAGUUCAAUCAUCCUAAGACCGGGUCCGGCUACAGACAAGAUAAAUGAUAAAAUGCAAUGACUCUGCCUCGUUAGUCUAGGAAACGAGCAAGGUCCUCUAAUCAUCGGGGUACAUUACGUACAAGCGCCCACUGCCUUCAUCGAAAUCCCAUUGAAGAUCGAUAACCCACAAGUAUAGGGGAUCGCAACAGUUUUCGAGGGUAGAGUAUUCAACCCAAAUUUAUUGAUUCAACUCAAGGGGAAGCGAAAGAAUAUUCUCAAGUAUUAGCAGUUGAGCUGUCAAUUCAACGACACCUAAAAGAUUUAGUAUCAGUAGCAAAGUAGGGUGAUAGCAGCAGUAGCAACAGUAACCAGUAGCAGCAAAGUAACAACAGUAGGAACAGAGUAACAACAGCAGCAGUCACAGCAGUAGCGGCAAAGUAACGUAGCAAGGACCAGUAGAAAAAGACUCGUAGGCAUUGGAUCAGUGAUGGAUGAUUAUGCCGGAUGUGAUUGAUCAUGCAACAGUUAUAACACGGAGAGAUAAGUAAAUAGCUCCAGUUCGUCAAUCUAAUGUAGGCAUGUAUUCCGCAUGUAGUCAUACGUGCUUAGGGAAAAUAACUUGCAUGACAUCUAUUGUCCAUCCCUCCCAUGGCAGCGGGGUCCUAAUGGAAACUACAGGAUAUUAAGGUUCUCCUUUGAAUAAAGAACCGGACCAAUGCAUUAACACUUGGUGAAUACAUGAACUCCUCAUACUAUGGUCAUCUCCGGGAGUGGUUCCGGCUAUUGUCACUCCGGGGUUGCAGGGUCAUAACACAUAGUAGGUGACUACAACUUGCAAGAUAGGAUCUAAAACACACAUAUAUUGGCGACAACAUAAUAGGUUCAGAUCUGAAAUCAUGGCACUCGAGCCCUAGUGACAAGCAUUAAGCAUGGCAAAGUAGUAGCAACAUCAAUCUCAGAACAUAGUGGAUACUAGGGAUCAAUUCCCGUCAAAACUAACUCGAUUACAUGAUAGAUCUCAUCCAACCCAUCACCGUCUAGAAAGCCUACGAAUAGAUUACUCACGAACGGUGAAGAGCAUCAUGGAAUUGGCGAUGAAGGAAGGUUGGUGAUGACGAUGGCGUCAAAGUUUGUUUUCUUGUGCUAAUGAUAUCACGAGUUUCUGUUUAAGUUUUGUGUUGUGAAGUUUUCAAGUUUUGGGUGAUGAUCUCAUGGACAAAGGGAUAAAGAGUGGAAAGAGCUCAAGCUUGGGGAUGCCCAAGGCAUCCCAAGCCAAAUUCAAGGACACCAAAAAGCCUAAGCUGGGGGAUGCCCCGGGAAGACAUCCCCUCUUUCGUCUCCAAUCCAUCGGUAAUAUUACUUGGAGCUAUAUUUUUAUUCACCACAUGAUAUGUGUUUUGCUUGGAGCGUCUUGUAUCAUAGGAGUCCUUUAUUUUUGUUGUGUCACAAUCAUCCUUGCUGCACACCUUUUGAGAGAGACAUGCACUCAUCGUGAAUUUUCUAGAAUACUCAUUGAGCUUCGCUUAUAUCUUUUGAGUUAGGCAAUUUAGCUCAUUGUGCUUCACUUAUAUCUUUUGAUCUAGAUAACUUUUCUCUUUGUGCUUCACUUAGAUCUUUUAGAGCACGGCGGUGUCAUAUUUUGGAGAAAUAAGAACUCUCGAUCUUCACUUAUAUCUUUUUGAGAGUGCUCUCUCUGAGUAACUUGGUAGUUGGCUUGUGUUAUGAAAGUAGUCCGAAAGAUGAUAGGCGCCCAAAGAGGAUACAAUAAAACUUCCAUAUUCAUGUGCAUUGAUUAGAAAGAGAAGUUUGAUUCCUCUCAAAUAGUUUUGAGACAUGGAUUUGGUAAUAUUAAGAGUUAUGCUAGUAGGGUGUUGUGAAUCUAGAAAUACUUGUGUUGAAGUUAGUGAUUCCCGUAACAUGCACGUAUGGUGGACCGCUAUGUUAGGAAGUCGGAGCAUAUUUGAUUUAUUGAUUGUCAUCCUUUGUGUUGCGGUCGGGAUUGCGCGAUGGUUAACACCUACCAACCCUUCCCCUAGGAGUAUGCGUUUAGCACUUUGUUUCGAUUACUAAUAAAAACUUUCGCAAUAAGUAUGUGAGUUCUUCAUGACUAAUGUGAGUCCAUGGUAUAGAUACACUUUCACCUUCCACCAUUGCUAGCCUCUCUAGUGCCGUGCAACUUUCGUCGGUACACAAAACCACAAUAUGCCUUCCUCAAAACAACCACCAUACCUACCUACUAUGGCAUUUUCAUAGCCAUUCCGAGAUAUAUUGCCAUGCAACUCCCACCGUUCGGUCUCAUGACUUGUGUCGUNNNNNNNNNNNNNNNNNNNNNNNNNNNNNNNNNNNNNNNNNNNNNNNNNNNNNNNNNNNNNNNNNNNNNNNNNNNNNNNNNNNNNNNNNNNNNNNNNNNNGUGAUCUCAUCCGGGACUCCGAACAACAUUCGGUAACCAACCAUAUAACUCAAAUACGCAUAAAACAACGUCGAACCUUAAGUGUGCAGACCCUGCGGGUUCGAGAACUAUGUAGACAUGACCCGAGUGACUCCUCGGUCAAUAUCCAAUAGCGGGACCUGGAUGCCCAUAUUGGAUCCUACAUAUUCUACGAAGAUCUUAUCGUUUGAACUUCAGUGCCAAGGAUUCAUAUAAUCCCGUAUGUCAUUCCCUUUGUCCUUCGGUAUGUUACUUGCCCGAGAUUCGAUCGUCAGUAUCCGCAUACCUAUUUCAAUCUCGUUUANCCGGCAAGUCUCUUUACUCAUUCCGUAAUACAAGAUCCCGCAACUUACACUAAGUCACAUUGCUUGCAAGGCUUGUGUGUGAUGUUGUAUUACCGAGUGGGCCCCGAGAUGCCUCUCCGUCACACGGAGUGACAAAUUCCAGUCUCGAUCCAUACUAACUCAACGAACACCUUCGAAGAUACCUGUAGAGCAUCUUUAUAGUCACCCAGUUACGUUGCGACGUUUGAUACACACAAAGCAUUCCUCNNNNNNNNNNNNNNNNNNNNNNNNNNNNNNNNNNNNNNNNNNNNNNNNNNNNNNNNNNNNNNNNNNNNNNNNNNNNNNNNNNNNNNNNNNNNNNNNNNNNACGGUGCCCUAUUUAAAGUGAAUGCUGCAGUUUCUAAUGCGUAUCCCCAAAAUGAUAGCGGUAAGUCGGUAAGAGACAUCAUAGAUCGUACCAUAUCUAAUAAAGUGCGAUUAUGACAUUCACACACCCCAUUACGUUGCGGUGUGCCAAGCGGCGUCAGUUGUGAAACGAUUCCACACUUCCUUAGGUGUGUGCCAAACUCGUGACUCAAAUAUUCUCCUCCACAAUCAGAUCGUAGACAUUUAAUUUUUUCUGUCACGUUGAUUCUCAACCUCACUCUGAAAUUCCUUGAACUUUUCAAACGUCUCAGAUUUGUGCUUCAUCAAGUAGAUAUACCCAUACCUACUCAAAUCAUCGGUGAGAGUGAGAACAUAACGAUAACCACCGCGAGCUUCAACGUUCAUUGGACCACACACAUCAGUAUGUAUUAUUUCCAAUAAGUCGGUUGCUCUCUCCAUUAUUCCUGAGAAUGGAGUCUUAGUCAUCUUGCCCAUGAGGCACAGUUCGCAUGUGUAAAAUGAUUCAAAGUCAAGAGACUCUAAUAGUCCAUCAAUAUGGAGCUUCUUCAUGCGCUUAACGCCGAUAUGACCAAGGCGGCAGUGCCACAAGUAUGUGGGACUGUCAUUAUCAACUUUACAUCUUUUGGUACUCACACUAUGAAUAUGUGUAACAUCACGAUCGAGAUUCAUCAAGAAUAAACCAUUCANNNNNNNNNNNNNNNNNNNNNNNNNNNNNNNNNNNNNNNNNNNNNNNNNNNNNNNNNNNNNNNNNNNNNNNNNNNNNNNNNNNNNNNNNNNNNNNNNNNNAGGUUGACUCGACGAGCUUAGCAUGUACAGACAUGACCUCGAAUACAAGAGACCGAAAGGUCGAACAUGAGUCGUAUGGUUGAAUACGAUCAGCAUGAAGUUGCUCACCAUGGUGACUAGUCCGUCUCACGUGAUGAUCGGACACGGGUUAGUCAACAUGGAUCAUGUAUCACUUAGAUGACUAGAGGGAUGUCGAUUUAAGUGGGAGUUCAUACUUAAUUUGAUUAAAUGAAAUUAAUUGUCAUGAACUUAGUCUAAAAGUUGUCUUUAUAAAUAUUGUAGAUGUCCAACGUCAACCUCAAUUUCAACGCAUUCCUAGAGAAAAACAAGCUGAAAGAUGAUGGUAGCAACUAUGCGGACUGGGUUUGCAACUUGAAGCUCAUCCUCGAAGCAGCUAAAAAGGCUUAUGUCCUUAAUGCGCCGCUAGGUGACCCUCCCGCUCCCGCAGCAGCCCAGGACAUUCUGAACGUCUGGCAAACGCGGAGUGAUGACUACUCUCUGGUCAGGUGUGGCAUGUUAUACAGUUUAGAAACGGGGCUCCAAAGGCGUUUUGAGCAACAUGGGGCAUAUGAGAUGUUCCAGGAGCUACAGCUAGUUUUUCAAGCUCAUGCCCGUGUCGAGAGAUAUGAAGUCUCCGACAAGUUCUUCAGCUGUAAGAUGGAGGAGAACAGUUCUGUCAGUGAGCACAUACUCAAAAUGUCUGGGUUACACGGUCGUCUGACUUCACUUGGAGUCGAACUUCCGGAUGAUGCUAUUAUUGACAGAAUCCUCCAGUCUCUCCCACCAAGCUACAAAGGCUUUGUGCUUAACUACAAUAUGCAAGGGAUGGAGAAGACCAUUCCCGAGUUGUACUCGCUGCUCAACUCUGCAGAAGUAGAAAUCAAGAAAGAGCAUCAAGUCUUGAUGGUCAACAAGACCACUAGUUUCAAGAAAGGCAAGGGUAAGAAGAACUUCAAGAAAGACGGCCAAGCUGUUGCCGCGCCCGGUAAGCCAGAUGCCGGGAAGAAGAAAAAGAACGGACCCAAGCCUGAGACUGAGUGCUUCUAUUGCAAGGGAAAGGGUCACUNNNNNNNNNNNNNNNNNNNNNNNNNNNNNNNNNNNNNNNNNNNNNNNNNNNNNNNNNNNNNNNNNNNNNNNNNNNNNNNNNNNNNNNNNNNNNNNNNNNNUCUCUCCUACUCUAGUCGGAUUGGAUUUGAUGAAAAGGGUCCUUAUGAAGGGUAAAUAGCUUUGGCAUAUAAUCGUUGUGGCUGUCACGUAGGUAAGAAGGCGUUCUUGCUAGAAACCCAAAUCAGCCACGUAAAACUUGCAACAACAAUUAGAGGACGUCUAACUUGUUUUUGCAGGGUUUGACAUGUGAUGUGAUAUGGCCAAAGUUGUGAUGUUGCAUGUAUAAUGUAUGAGAUGAUCAUGUUAUUGUAAUAGGUUUCACGACUUGCAUGUCGAUGAGUAUGACAACCGGCAGGAGCCAUAGGAGUUGUCUUAAUUUAUUGUAUGAGAUGCAACGCCAUGUGCUUACUACUUUUACUUCAUUGCUAACAGUUAGCUAUAGUAGUAGUGAUAGUAGUAGUUGGCGUGACGACAUCACAGAGACACGAUGAUGGAGAUCAUGAUGAUGGAGAUCAUGGUGUCACGCUGGUGACGAUGAUGAUCAUGCGAUGCCUGAAGAUGGAGAUCGAAAGAGCAAAGAUGAUAAUGGCCAUAUCAUGUCACUAUAUGAUUGCAUUGUGAUGUUUAUCAUGUUUUACAUCUUAUUGCUUAAAACGACGGUAGCAUAAUAAGAUGAUCCCUCUUAAAAUUUCAAGAACGUAUUCCCCUAAGUGUGCACCGUUGCGAAGGUUCAUUGUCUCGAAGCACCACGUGAUGAUCGGGUGUGAUAGAUUCUAACAUUCGCAUACAACCGGUGUAAGCCAGAUUUACACACGCGAAACACCUAGGUUGACUCGACGAGCUUAGCAUGUACAGACAUGACCUCGAAUACAAGAGACCGAAAGGUCGAACAUGACUCGUAUGGUUGAAUACGAUCAGCAUGCAGUUGCUCACCAUGGUGACUAGUCCGUCUCACGUGAUGAUCGGACACGGGUUAGUCAACAUGGAUCAUGUAUCACUUAGAUGACUAGAGGGAUGUCGAUUUAAGUGGGAGUUCAUACUUAAUUUGAUUAAAUGAAAUUAAUUGUCAUGAACUUAGUCUAAAAGUUGUCUUUAUAAAUAUUGUAGAUGUCCAACGUCAACCUCAAUUUCAACGCAUUCCUAGAGAAAAACAAGCUGAAAGAUGAUGGUAGCAACUAUGCGGACUGGGUUNNNNNNNNNNNNNNNNNNNNNNNNNNNNNNNNNNNNNNNNNNNNNNNNNNNNNNNNNNNNNNNNNNNNNNNNNNNNNNNNNNNNNNNNNNNNNNNNNNNNAAUACCCAGGAGCUACUACGAGCGCUGGUAAGGUACACAUCAAUAACAUGUAUAUCACAUAUACCUUUAACGUUGCCGGCCUUCUUGUCCGCUAAGUAUUUGGGGCAGUUCCGCUUCCAGUGACCCUUUCCCUUGCAAUAGAAGCACUCAGUCUCAGGCUUGGGUCCGUUCUUUUUCUUCUUCCCGGCAUCUGGCUUACCGGGCGCGGCAACAGCUUGGCCGUCUUUCUUGAAGUUCUUCUUACCCUUGCCUUUCUUGAAACUAGUGGUCUUGUUGACCAUCAAAACUUGAUGCUCUUUCUUGAUUUCUACUUCUGCAGAAUUGAGCACCGAGUACAACUCGGGAAUGGUCUUCUCCAUCCCUUGCAUGUUGUAGUUAAGCACAAAGCCUUUGUAGCUUGGUGGGAGAGACUGGAGGAUUCUGUCAAUUAUAGCAUCAUCCGGAAGUUCGACUCCAAGUGAAGUCAGACGACCGUGUAACCCAGACAUUUUGAGUAUGUGCUCACUGACAGAACUGUUCUCUUCCAUCUUACAGCUAAAGAACUUGUCGGAGACUUCAUAUCUCUCGGCACGGGCAUGAGCUUGAAAAACUAGCUUCAUCUCCUGGAACAUCUCAUAUGCCUCAUGUUGCUCAAAACGCCUUUGGAGCCCCGUUUCUAAACUGUAUAACAUGCUACACCUAACCAGAGAGUAGUCAUCACUCCGCGUUUUCCAGACGUUCAGAAUGUCCUGGGCUGCUGCGGGAGCGGGAGGGUCACCUAGCGGCGCAUCAAGGACAUAAGCCUUUUUAGCUGCUUCAAGGACGAGCUUCAAGUUGCGAACCCAGUCCGCAUAGUUGCUACCAUCAUCUUUCAGCUUGUUUUUCUCUAGGAAUGCGUUGAAAUUGAGGUUGACGUUGGACAUCUACAAUAUUUAUAAAGACAACUUUUAGACUAAGUUCAUGACAAUUAAGUUCAUUUAAUCAAAUUAAAUAUGAACUCCCACUUAAAUCGACAUCCCUCUAGUCAUCUAAGUGAUACAUGAUCCAUGUUGACUAACCCGUGUCCGAUCAUCACGUGAGACGGACUAGUCACCAUGGUGAGCAACUCCAUGCUGAUCGUAUUCAACCAUACGAAUCAUGUUCGACCUUUCGGUCUCUUGUAUUCGAGGUCAUGUCUGUACAUGCUAAGCUCGUCGAGUCAACCUNNNNNNNNNNNNNNNNNNNNNNNNNNNNNNNNNNNNNNNNNNNNNNNNNNNNNNNNNNNNNNNNNNNNNNNNNNNNNNNNNNNNNNNNNNNNNNNNNNNNGCGGAGACUGGCCAAGGACGAGGUGACGAUGCGCGUCGGGAAUGGUUCAAAGGUCGAUGUGAUCGCCGUCAGCACGCUGCCUCUACAUCUACCGUCGGGAUUAGUUUUAAACCUUAAUAAUUGUUAUUUAGUACCAGCUUUAAGCAUGAACAUUGUAUCAGGGUCUUGCUUAAUGCGAGACGGCUACUCAUUUAAGUCAGAGAAUAAUGGUUGUUCUAUUUAUAUGAGUGAUAUGUUUUAUGGUCAUGCUCCGCUGGUGAAUGGUUUAUUCUUGAUGAAUCUCGAUCGUGAUGUUACACAUAUUCAUAGUGUGAGUACCAAAAGAUGCAAAGUUGAUAAUGAUACUCCCACAUACUUGUGGCACUGCCGCCUUGGUCAUAUCGGCGUUAAGCGCAUGAAGAAGCUCCAUACUGAUGGACUAUUAGAGUCUCUUGACUUUGAAUCAUUUGACACAUGCGAACCGUGCCUCAUGGGCAAGAUGACUAAGACUCCAUUCUCAGGAAUAAUGGAGAGAGCAACCGACUUAUUGGAAAUAAUACAUAUUGAUGUGUGUGGUCCAAUGAACGUUGAAGCUCGCGGUGGUUAUCGUUAUGUUCUCACUCUCACCGAUGAUUUGAGUAGGUAUGGGUAUAUCUACUUGAUGAAGCACAAAUCUGAGACGUUUGAAAAGUUCAAGGAAUUUCAGAGUGAGGUUGAGAAUCAACGUGACAGAAAAAUUAAAUGUCUACGAUCUGAUCGUGGAGGAGAAUAUUUGAGUCACGAGUUUGGCACACACCUAAGGAAGUGUGGAAUCGUUUCACAACUGACGCCGCCUGGCACACCGCAGCGCAACGGAGUGUCUGAACGUCGUAAUCGCACUUUAUUAGAUAUGGUACGAUCUAUGAUGUCUCUCACCGACUUACCGCUAUCAUUUUGGGGAUACGCAUUAGAAACUGCAGCAUUCACUUUAAAUAGGGCACCGUCUAAAUCCGUUGAGACGACACCGUAUGAACUAUGGUUUGGCAAGAAACCUAAGUUGUCGUUUCUUAAAGUUUGGGGCUGCGAUGCUUAUGUGAAGAAACUUCAACUAGAAAAGCUCCAACCCAAAGAGGAGAAAUGCGUAUUCAUAGGAUACCCUAAGGAAACUAUUGGGUAUACCUUCUAUCUUAGAUCCGAAGGUAAAACCUUUGUUGCCAAGAACGGAUCCUUUCUAGAGAAAGAGUUUCUCUCGAAAGAAGUAAGUGGGAGGAAGGUAAAACUUGAUGAGGUAAUUGCACCCCCUCUCGAACAGGAAAGUAGCGCAGCGCGGGAAGUUGUUCCUGUGGCGCCUAUACCGAAUGAAGAGGAAGUUAAUGAUGAUGAUCAUGAAGCUUCGGAUCAAGUUACUACUGAACCGCGAAGGUCCACAAGGGCACGCUCCGCACCAGAGUGGUACGGCAACCCUGUGAUGGAAAUCAUGUUGUUAGACAAUGGUGAGCCUUCGAACUAUGAAGAAGCAAUGGCGGGCCCGGAUUCCAACAAAUGGCUUGAGGCUAUGAAAUCCGAGAUAGGAUCCAUGUAUGAGAACAAAGUAUGGACUUUGGUGGACUUGCCCGAUGACCGGCGAGCCAUAGAAAAUAAAUGGAUCUUCAAGAAGAAGACUGAUGCAAACGGUAAUGUAACCGUUUACAAAGCUCGACUUGUCGCAAAGGGUUUUCGACAAAUUCAAGGAGUUGACUACGAAGAGGCUUUCUCUCCCGUAGCGAAGCUGAAAUCAGUUCGAAUCAUGUUAGCAAUUGCCGCCUUUUAUGAUUAUGAAAUUUGGGAAAUGGACGUCAAAACAGCGUUCCUUAACGGGAACCUUAAGGAAGAGUUGUAUAUGAUGCAACCAGAAGGUUUUGUCGACCCUAAGGGUGCUAACAAAGUGUGCAAGCUCCAGCGCUCCAUCUAUGGGCUGGUGCAAGCAUCUCGGAGUUGGAACAUUCGCUUUAAUGAGGUAAUUAAAGCGUUUGGGUUCAUACAGGUUUACGGAGAAACCUGUCUGUACAAGAAAGUGAGUGGGAGCUCUGUAGCUUUCCUCAUACUAUAUGUGGAUGACAUAUUAUUGAUGGGGAAUAAUAUAGAGAUGUUGGAGAGCAUAAAGGCCUAUUUGAACAAGAGUUUUUCAAUGAAGGACCUUGGAGAAGCUGCAUACAUAUUAGGCAUCAAGAUCUAUAGAGAUAGAUCGAGACGCCUCAUAGGUCUUUCGUAAAGUACAUACCUUGACAAGAUAUUGAAGAAGUUCAAUAUGGAAAACUCAAAGAAAGGGUCAUUGCCAGUUUUGCAAGGUAUGAGAUUGAGUAAGACUCAGUCGCCGACCACGGCAGUAGAUAGAGAGAAGAUGAGUUAUGUCCCCUACGCUUCAGCCGUGGGCUCUCUAAUGUAUGCCAUGUUGUGUACCAGACCUGAUAUAAACCUUGCCAUAAGUUUGGUAGGGAGGUACCAAAGUAAUCCCGGUACGGAACACUCGACAGCGGUCAAGAAUAUCCUUAAGUACCUGAAAAGGACUAAGGAAAUAUUUCUCGUUUAUGGAGGUGACGAAGAGCUCGUCGUAAAGGGUUACGUCGACGCUAGCUUCGACAUAGAUCCGGAUGACUCUAAGUCACAGACCGGAUACGUAUAUGUGUUGAAUGGUGGGGCAGUGAGCUGGUGCAACAGCAAGCAAGAAGUCGUGGCAGCAUCUACAUGUGAAGCGGAGUACAUAGCUGCUUCAGAAGCGGCUCAUGAAGGAAUUUGGAUGAAGGAGCUCAUCACUGACCUUGGAGUGGUUCCAAGCGCGUCGGGUCCCAUGACACUCUUCUGUGAUAACACUGGAGCCAUUGCCAUAGCCAAGGAGCCCAGGUUUCACUGAAAGACGAAGCACAUCAAGCGCCGCUACAACUCCAUCCAGGACCAUGUCCAGAGUGGAGUGAUAGAUAUUUGUAAAGUACACACGGAUCUGAAUAUUGCAGACCCGUUGACUAAACCUCUUCCACGAGCAAAACAUGAUCAACACCAUAAUGCUAUGGGUGUUCGAUACAUCACAAUGUAACUAGAUUAUUGACUCUAGUGCAAGUGGGAGACUGUUGGAAAUAUGCCCUAGAGGCAAUAAUAAAAUGGUUAUUAUCAUAUUUCCUCGUUCAUGAUAAUCGUCUAUUGUUCAUGCUAUAAUUGUAUUAACAGGAAACAGUAAUACAUGUGUGAAUAAAUAGAUCACAAUGUGUCCCUAGGAAGCCUCUAGUUGGCUAGCUCGUUAGUCAAUAGAUGAUCAUGGUUUCCUGAUCAUGGGCAUUAGAUGUCAUUGAUAACGGGAUCACAUCAGUGGGAGAAUGAUGUGAUGGACAAGACCCAAUCCUAAGCCUAGCACUAGAUCGUAUUGUUCGUAUGCUAAUGCUUUUCUAAUGUCAAGUAUCUUUUCCUUCGACCGUGAGAUUGUGCAACUCCCAGAUGCCGUAGGAGUGCUUUGGGUGUAUCAAACGUCACAACGUAACUGGGUGACUAUAAAGGUGCACUACGGGUAGGGGGGGGGGGGGGGGUUGGGUUGGUACGAAUCGAGAUCGGGAUUUGUCACUCCGUGUGACGGAGAGGUAUCUCUGGGCCCACUCGGUAGAACAUCAUCAUGAGCUCAAUGUGACUAAGGAGUUAGUCACACGAUGAUGUGCUACGGAACGAGUAAAGAGACUUACCGGUAACGAGAUUGAACAAGGUAUAGGUAUACCGACGAUCGAAUCUCGGGCAAGUUCUAUACCGACAGACANNNNNNNNNNNNNNNNNNNNNNNNNNNNNNNNNNNNNNNNNNNNNNNNNNNNNNNNNNNNNNNNNNNNNNNNNNNNNNNNNNNNNNNNNNNNNNNNNNNNGGGGGGGGGGGAGGGUGUUAGAUUUGUAUUGCCCCUUUUUUGUAUAUCCCCAUUAUAUAAGGGGUUUCUACCACUUUUACCAUAUGUAUAUAUAUUGGCCUUUGGCCCCUGUGAAUAUUUGCUCAUUAUCUAACAGAUCCAACACAAGGUUGGGUCGAAGCUAGUUUAUAUCUGGGACGUUACACCAACCUCUCAAGCCAAUCCAACAUUGCAGACAGAUUUAUGAUACACUUCCUUUUCACGAGCCCGAGGCAAUGUACCUAUGUCAAAAAAAGUAGGAGUUCGAGGCAAUGUACCUAAUACAAACUGUGAAGCCUUCCCACCUAGGCUAUACAUGAGGUCCUUGAGAUGCUCUAUAAGAUAUCGGUUAAAAGAGAAAACGUCCAAAAUAAGAGAAAUAUAACUAUAUUUUUUUUGUAUUUGUCGCUUCAAAGGAUCAGUAUGUUGGACAAGAAGAGAAGCACUGAAGUAGCAUCACUCAUCAUCAAGGUCAAAAUCGUUGUCCGAUGCGCACUCGAGAUAUGAACCAAUCGACUUGCGGAAGAUGAUGAAAGACUUGUCAUCCUGUGAAAAAAGAAUGCAUUAUUUUGCAGGAAGAGGUGUUUCAAGCCAUGGAACAAAAAAAACUGGCUGGUCAUUCAGCUUUAGGCCUGACGGGUAGCUAAAAAUGAAGUCUAAGAAAUGCAAGCAGUUGUGAAUUUUGCCACACCUGCUUCAUCCUUUUCAGUGAUGGUUUGGCAUUUGUUAUCUUAUCUGAUAAGGUGUCACCAUGUUCUGACAAUGUAGCCGUCUCCUCCCCUGUUUGAAGGAUUUGAGUGUAAGAGCAGCAUAUUUCCAUCCAAGGGAAAUAAUGAAUCCUCUAGCUACUUACUUUGAUAUUCAUACUGCUCAAGCAGUUUCUUUUUCUCAACUUCAAUUUGUGAGGAUAGAUCUGCAUAAUAGGACAUGUAACAAGUCAAAUAAGAGCCAAAUAUUUUUGCAGAUUCAAUGAGAUCUGAACGUCUUUUAUGGGAACAUCAUCCAAAUAAUGCUGAGUCGCUAAUAAGCAGUAGCCAAGCAAUGCAUAUUUAGAAACAACACACAUAAUUUGAAUACAAGUGUCAUGUAGAUUCUAUUUGCAUCAAAACCAGGUAUCUCAAUAUUUUUUCUAAAGAUAAGAAUCACAGCUCAUACGUAGUAGCCGAUUACACCAAAUGAGAAACAACCAUCACACGUCACAAUGCCCUAAAAUCCUAGAUAGACCUGGAUAGAAGCACAUGAUAUACUUGUGAAAAUGACAACCAGCUCUUAUUUGACAUACCUUUGAAGGUUUGUAAGUGUGCAUCAUUUUCUUCGCAGAACAUUUCAUAUGUUUCCUGAAGCUUGGUGUACUCUUCGUUCAAUGAACUUUCACACUGCUAAUAGUGCAAAUUACACGCCAUAAUUCAAUCUUAGGCAAAUCAGCAAGUAAGUCGACAAUUCCAAAGAAUUGUAAACUGUGUACCUCUUUCGAAGUGCUUGACAGUACUUUCAGCAAAUUCUGCCUGCACAUGCAAAUAUAACAGUGACACUACGUUCUAAAUAAAAACGAACAAGCUUCCUUUUCUGACAGAACUGGUUUCAGGCGUAAUUGUUCAUGCAGGCAUCGUUUCACAGUUCACAAGCAAGUGAGUUACCUUUCCUUCUCAAACUUGGACUUGGUAUCUUCAAGCAUAGUCUGAAUAUUGGCUGCAACACUGUCAGGUUUAGAAAAGUAAAGGAAUAAACAGGGUAAGAAGAAGGUAAAAGAAUAAUGAUCAGCAACAUUAUGCGCUUCAAACUUCACAGUUCAGUCAGCGGAGUCCCUGUUAGUCCACAUGUUAUAAUUUUCGGCUUCUUUUCCUCCCCGAUGCCUGUGUAAAUAAUUCUUUGUAAUAGUUCUGAGAAGUUUAUAGAAAUGUUCAGGCUGGCUUUGCCGGCCGUAGUUCUGAAAAUCAACUCACCCGAACAAAGCCACACCAUGACAUAAGUACAAAACAUGAAUCCGGGAACCCAUCAAAUUAAUAUGUCCAUUUUCCUCGCAUCACUCACAAUGCAUAUCGCUCCGCAUAAUAUACAAAAACUGACAUAUCACCGAACGAACCUAGUUCCUGCAUUAAUCACAGAAACAGCCGAGUGGACGCAUUGCAGGAUUGCAAACGUGCAACAUUUAUUUGUAUCCCUCCCAGUGACCAUGAACUGUAAGUUUUCCACACAAAUCCGCCAGCACGAAAUGCAUCAUAAGAAGCUGCUAGGAUAGCAUACGCCGAUCCCAAUUUUUUUGCACGCUAGCACAUAGCGAGAUAAGAGAAAAUUUAGAGGUGCAAGUGCAACCGAAAGAACACUGUUCUCCGCACCUGGCGAUGAUCUGCUCGCACAUCUUCUGGCCAGCCUUGUUGGUCCCGCCCUUGAUCAACCGCAGCAGGCACGCGAUCUGCCUCAAGUCGCUGCGCCCGCCACAAAAGUAGCCAUCACGGAGUUAAAGCGAGAAGGAAUUAGAAACGGGAGACACCGAAUCGAAGAGGAAAAGCUCGAAAUCAGAUGUGCGGCACCUGACGAAAUCGCCGUCAGAUUCCGAGCCGGAGCUGGAGCCGGAAUCGGAACCGGAGCCGAAAUCCACGGGGUGGCGCGGCCUCUUCGACGACCGCAGAGCCUCUUCACCCAGGGACAUCCUCCUUCCGCCGCCGGGACUCGCCGCGGGCCGCAUCGCUGGUCGACGAGCGUAGUGCAGCGCAAUUCGAAAUUUGGAGGGGGAGCGAGAGGGUAGUGAUGUAAUACUGGCAAAAUUUUGGUGGCCCACUCACAGUAUUGGCUUUUGUAAGGGAAAGUGUUCGUGCGCGCAAGGCUACGAGCAACUAGUUCCUCCUCUUGUAAUUUUUUUUUCCUUCGACGCGUCCGUUGAAGUGUUCGGCCGGUCGCGUUCCUUCCUCACGUUUUUCUUCCACCUUUUCCUUUUCCCCUCCCGCGCACACUCGGAUUUUUUCACUGUUUUAACCUUUUUUCUAAANNNNNNCACAAAAUGAACCAGAUUUGAAACCAUUUCACGAUCUGACCCUUUUAAAAACGCCACAAGCCGUGGCGUUGCUNNNNNNNNNNNNNNNNNNNNNNNNNNNNNNNNNNNNNNNNNNNNNNNNNNNNNNNNNNNNNNNNNNNNNNNNNNNNNNNNNNNNNNNNNNNNNNNNNNNNUGGACAAGAAUACAUGGAGUUACUCAAGCCAUUGAAUCAUUUGACUUUGUUUUCAAUCUUCACUUGAUGCUUGUUAUUCUUGGCUAUACAAAUGAGUUGUCCAAAUCUUUGCAAAAGAGAGAUCAAGAUACUAUUAAUGCAGUGGCACUUGUUAGUUUGGCAAAGAGUAGAAUGCGACACAUGAGGUGUCAUGGUUAGGAAGAAUUUCUUGCAAAGCUAACCCUAUUUUGCCAGAAACAUGACAUUCAAGUUCCUUUGUGGGAGGAUACUUAUGCAGGGGCAGAAUUAGCAUGGGUUCACGUCUAGGGCCAAAUUAGCUUCAGUGGUGUAUUUUAGAGAUUUUUUGUACUUAGUAAGUAGGUAUUACAAAGACUAUUGUCACUACACCUAGGGCUAUAGCCCCAUUUUCCCUAGGCCUGAUUCCAACAUUGUACUUAUGAGCAUCAUGGAAUAUCACGUUGGUAUAAUGAAGUUCAAACAAAUGAUGAUCGUUAUAAAAGAGAAGUAUAUCUUGGUGUCAUUGAUCAAACCAUUCUAUCCCAUGGACAUAUCAAGCACGGAUUUGAUAAGGCUAGAAUUUCAACUUGCUACUUUUAUUGAUGAUACGAGACAAGAUGAUAUUGGUGAGCUCUCUAUUUUACUUGUUGCAACAAAGAAUCAUAUUCUCUAUGAUUUGGUCUACUUACUCAUCAAAUUGAUAUUGAUUUUACCGAUGGCAACAACGAGUGUUGAAAGGGUAUUUUCUGCAAUGAAUCUAGUGAAAAAUAAAUUAAGGACUAGUAUGGGUGAUGAUCGUUUGGUGACAAUUAUUAAGCGAGAUGUGUUCAUGAAAGUAAAUGAAGAUGACAUAGUUGAUGCUUUCAUGACAAUGCAACGACGUAGAGUUACCUAGUGUUGUAAUUUUCUACUUCUGUUACUUUCAUGUAAGUCUUUUCUAUUGUAACUGGGCACAUUUGAAAUACAUUUUAUGUACUAAAUGGUUGUGAGAUUUCAAUUGAGCUAUUUAUGUUACUCAUUUGACAUAUUUUGAUACAUUUGGAUUAGGUAGGAAAAAAAUAGAGUGCGCAUGCCCUUUAUUUUAUUCCUGGGUACCCACACAAUGGAACGCAAAAAUAUCCAGCCGAGCGAGCAGUAAAUCCACCAUACGGGAUGUGCAUACUUAAUACUCCUACAUUGCAACAAAUAAUCGUGAAAAAAAAUGGAAAAAGAAACCAUAUGCGAUCAGGCACAUGACGAAGGAAGGGUCACAUGAAUGAAGAAGAGAGAAAAGCCACAUAUCGACCCGAAUAGCGAAGUGUGGGAGCCGCGAUGGCGGGCACUGGCAGCCAUACAUUGGGCUAUCCAAAAUCUCAUCUCUCGCCCAAUCCCGGCCUCACGAUCUCAAUUCUCACCCCGCGUGCACCACAAGCUCCAAUCCCCUAACUCGUAUAUACAGCCACGCCCGCCUCACCGUCCUUGAUCUUCCCCCCUAUCUGAUCGGAUCCUUUGGACAUGGCGUCGCCCAUGCUCUCCACGGCCAUGGCGCCACUCCAGGUAUUGCUCGUGUUCCAUUUCCAUUCCAUGCUUGCGUAGUAGUACAGUUCUUCCAUGUUUGUGACGCGCGGUGGUUAUGUAACUGGACUGCCAUGCAUCCUCUGUCGAUCCAGGGGGGCAUGCUGGAGUUCUCCGGGCUGAGGAGCUCGUCGUCGCUGCCGCUCCGGCGGAAUGCCACCUCCGACGACUUCAUGUCCGCCGUCUCCUUCAGGACAUACGCGGUAUGAUAUGAAUAUGAUGGGCGGAAUGUGGCUGUCACCUAGGAGUACGUAGCUCGCUUGGUCGCAUGCCAUGAGACAUGAGCGGCGCGUGGUACGGUGGUUGCAGGUGAGCACGAGCGGCGGGUCGCGGAAGGCGCCGACGGAGGCGAAGCUCAAGGUGGCGAUCAACGGGUUCGGGCGCAUCGGGCGCAACUUCCUGCGGUGCUGGCACGGGCGCGGCGACAGCUCGCCGCUGGAGGUGAUCGCCAUCAACGACACCGGAGGCGUGAAGCAGGCGUCCCACCUCCUCAAGUACGACUCCACGCUGGGCAUCUUCGACGCGGACGUCAAGCCCGUGGGCGACAACGCCAUCUCCGUCGACGGCAAGGUGAUCAAGGUCGUGUCCGACCGCAACCCCUCCAACCUGCCGUGGGGCGAGAUGGGCAUCGACCUCGUCAUCGAGGGCACCGGCGUCUUCGUCGACCGCGCCGGCGCGGGCAAGCAUCUCGAGGCCGGAGCCAAGAAGGUGCUCAUCACCGCGCCCGGCAAGGGCGACAUCCCCACCUACGUCUGCGGCGUCAACGCCGACCUCUACACCCACGCCGACACCAUCAUCAGCAACGCCUCAUGCACCACCAACUGCCUCGCCCCCUUCGUCAAGGUCCUCGACCAAAAGUUCGGUACGUGCCCGUCUCCCUCCCUCUCUCUCUCUCUCAACUGAAUCAACUUGUUGACGAUGACUAAUGGCGGCGGUGGCAAUGGCGCAGGCAUCAUCAAGGGAACCAUGACCACAACCCACUCGUACACCGGCGACCAGAGGCUGCUCGACGCGAGCCACCGCGACCUGCGCCGUGCCCGCGCCGCCGCCCUCAACAUAGUGCCGACCUCCACCGGCGCGGCCAAGGCCGUGGCGCUGGUGCUCCCCAACCUCAAGGGCAAGCUCAACGGGAUCGCGCUCCGGGUGCCCACCCCCAACGUGUCCGUCGUCGACCUCGUGGUGCAGGUCUCCAAGAAGACCCUCGCCGAGGAGGUGAACCAGGCGUUCCGCGACGCCGCCGCCAACGAGCUCAAGGGCAUCCUCGACGUCUGCGACGAGCCCCUCGUGUCCGUCGACUUCAGGUGCUCCGACGUCUCCUCCACCAUCGACGCGUCGCUCAGCAUGGUCAUGGGAGACGACAUGGUCAAGGUCAUUGCAUGGUACGACAACGAGUGGGGUUACUCCCAGAGGGUCGUCGACCUCGCCGACAUCGUCGCCAACCAAUGGAAGUGAACGCCCCCCCACAGCGGCAUUGCCCUGUCAAGUGACUCCUCUCGAAAUUUUCCCCAGCCGUCGUCACGGAUGAUCGAUUCUUUGUAAUGAGAAUUCAAAGUAUCGAGCUCCCAACACCUUCUUCCUUUUUCUUUCUUUUCUUCUUUUCUCUUUCUCUGAUUUUUCAGUGUCCAGACACGGAUUAUAAUAGGCUUCCUGCAAAGGAAGUCUCAACGCUGUGCAUCUGUAAUACUCGUAUAUACUACUAUCGUUUGCCAGAUUCUGAU
rnacentral:lncRNA from 1 species